AUCCUCUGUCAGUGGUUUAACACUUCCACAUAAAGCAGAUAAGGAAAAAUUACAUUCUCAUCAUCAUCAGCAGCAGACUUAACUGCAUUUGUAAAAAAAUAUAAAAUCACGAAGUUAUGCCAUCAGAGCGGGUUAAUUCCGUGAAUAACAUUUUGUAGCACAUACUAACAAUAGGUAAUUUAGAAACUGCUCCCAAUUUUUCUAGGAGAGCUCAUAUUUGUUCAAAUCAGGCAAGUUUACCUGACUCACCAUUCCAACUAAAUCAGCUUCACUAUCCGAAUGAGCUAGCUAGCUAGGAUCUAAAUUUUGAAGGCAGUGUGAAGGUAUAAGGAUAGUUGGCAAUCCUUUUAUCCUGCAAAACACUUUGAGAUAAUGUUAUCUGAUCAAGAACAAGUGGCGUUAUUAUCCCUUAUGGUUUCAGGUAAAACAUGCAUCUGCAUAUCAUUGUUUUUCACAGAGUACUGAGUCUUCUGCUGUUCUGAGGUUCAAAGUCUGUUAUAUUAGUUUAAUAUAAAAUGGACAACUGAGUUUGUGGGAAGUGCCUUAGCGCUCAAACCAGUCAAAGGGUUGAGAUCUUUUGUUAUGCCAACCUGUGACCGAAUGGUUUGAUGCUCAAGGCUCCAGCUGGGAUUUCAUGAUACGUUAUCCGAUGUAUAAGCUGGUCCCUGUAUGGUUCAAAGACCAGUUGCUAUCAGCUGUGUCAAGGUCCACUAAUGGACUGAGUAAGAGGGUUUGAAACCUCUUUGCUCCCUGUUUGAAUCAUCCAUGUUUUAGGAAAGGGUUAUUUGUCUUAUUGAGAUUGCUUGUGUCAUCUCUGUGUUUGGACACAUCACUUUCAGUAUGGGAGCCAAACACUUCUGUCCAAACCUUUCUGAAACAUGUUGAGGUCAGCGUGCAUCAUCCUUGAUGCCAUUGUUGGCCUAUAUAUAUCUACAGCUUUGGCUUUGCUCAAUGGUUGUGGAAAACUGCCUUAUUGCGUUUUCUUUGUUGAGUCAGUUUUUUAGCUUGCAUUGUUCAUGCUGCUCUAAGUCUUCUUCGUGACUGUAAACCUUAGAGCUUGAACUCAAAACUCUUUCAUCAACUCAUAUCAUGUUGCAUACCAUGAGGGAUGUGUAGUGCAACCAACCCAAGAAGCGUUCAAGGUUGAAUCUGCUAGUGGUUAGCUGAAUUCACGAACAAGGCUUCAAAAAGUGUCCCAUGUUGUAAGAACUUAGAAACAAGAGAGGGAAUAGGUCUAGACUAGUUCGGGACUAGGAAGGAUAGCACUGUGGUAGUGUAUCACUAGAACUAUUAUUCUUGUAAGAAGUUACUUCAACGUAGUGGAAGUUUUUGUCUCUCAAGAGUUAGAGACACGCAGUUUUUCUCCCUGCAUUCAGGGUUUCUGCGAGUAAAAAACAUCCUUGUGUUGUUUCUUUAUUUGCUGCAAUUUACUUUCUGCAAACUCGUAUCCUGUGAUUCUGGGAUAGCACAAGUCAUUGCUAUCCUCGGAUACAGAAGGCAACGAAAAUUUCAAAAAGGCCUAUUCACCCCCCCUCUAGGACCUUUACAGUGGCAUUUUACAGUAAAGUAAUCACAGUUCCAGCAAAUUUACUUGACUUUUGAAUAUCAAAUAUCCAUGAAACAAGCUAUGGCAAAUCCAGCAGAAGUCCAAAAGCAAAGAAAAAAUGUCGCUUGAGUCUUGAUCGAUUAAGCCCCCACCCUUCCCUCCCCUCAAAGGUCUCUCUUUUCUGCUUUUCAACACAGCAUGGUACAUGAAACUAUUCUAUUCCAUAACAAAUUUAAAACACAACCACAAGAGCUUUCUCUGAAGGACCUGAGUCAACAUUCUUAAGAAUAUUAGGACUUGAUGUGAUAAGGUAUUAAGGUUUGAACAUUCUUAAUGCAACAUCGGCAAGGGAGUCACUGCUUCAUCCUCUAUAACAUGUUUCUACAACAGUCAAUUGUGAAGUUGCAUUUUAUGAGCUUUCAUCAAGUCCGAUGUCCUAUAUAUAGUUCACACUCCACAGUAGUAUAACCUCCGGCAUACCAAAAAAUAUAUAUGUAUGGUAUGAAACACACUGAUGAGAUGUCAUAUAUGUCAUAUGCGUGAAAGUAGAUCGAGUCAAUGUAUAACUUCCUGGUAUACAUUCAGUUUCGCUUUAGUUCAUCAGCAACAAAAGUGAUAUAUCAGACACCACAUUGUCCAGAACCAAGCAUAAUAUUUCUCACAUUAGAGUUUUGUCCAAGAGUCGAAGCGAAAGCUCUUAGUUAACAAAUAUGUAUUUUGUACUGAUAUAAUUCAUUUCAUACAUAGGCCAGUCUAGUUUCUGUAGUCCAUGAAACUUACUAAGUUGGCUUUACUGACUGAUCUUUUUUCCAGUAUUACACACACAUGCAAAUUCAUGUACAUAUAUAUCAUCAUAACUAUAUACCUACAAUGGUAGUAGGCUUUGAUUCAAUCUUUACUGGUAUACUAUGCAGUGGGGUAAGAGGCUUCCAUGGCAAUGCCACAUAGACCUUCCGGUGCAGCAACAUCUCUUUGCAUUCUUAUGUAACCUUGUUCACCCCAUUGUGCACCCCAUGAGUUCUUUACCAACCAGUACUUGGUUCCAUCAGCAUCCACGCCGUAGCCAACAGCAGUAACACCAUGGUCUAGUUCAGUUCCACAUGUUCCUGUGAAAACACCACUUGAGUAUAACUGGAAGUCGUAUCCACUAGCAUCAAUGGCAACUGAAAUAGGUUGAUUAGCCACGGCCUUAAGAAGAGCGCUUUCACUGUUUGCAGGCACAUCUUCGUGGCCAGUUAUCGUGGCUGCAUGUCCUGCUUCCUUCUUGGCAUUGCAUGUACCAUCAGCAGCCGUGUAGGGAUAAUUAGCCUCGGUAUUAAUACCAUGAUUUUGAAUAACGAACUGAAAGGCAUCGUCCAUAAGGCCACCUGAACAACCUUGGUCUACACCAUUGACAUCACAGUCAACCAGCUCUUGCUCAGACAAAGAGAUUAGUUUACCAAUUGUGAGUUGAGUGAUUCCUUCCAUAGCUCCCACUGCUGAGAAGGCCCAACAACUUCCUGUGUAUAUUUUGAUUUCACAUUUACAGCAGUUAGAAUAAUUAGCACAGAUCAUAUACUUGUUUCUUCUUGCAAAUGUAAAUAGAUCUUGUGACAUUGGGAAAAAAUAAAAAAUAAUAAAAAAGUGUGUUACAUACCACAUUGGCCUUGGUCCUUCACUGGAGUUACAGCUCCCUUCUUUCUCCAAUCCAUUGUAGCCGGCACAGUAGCAUUUUCGUACUUGAAAGUAGUGGUCUUUGUGGAACACUCAUUCCCCAAGAAUCGAUUUCUUGAGGCAGUGAACUCCUCAUUUGUAAGGUCUGCAAAUUGGUUCAGACUCAAUUUGUAAAGUUUGUUUCCAUCUUUGUUGGAGGACUCAACAUAUGCCUCAUUCUCCUUGAAUAUCUUGAAGCGAUCCUCCUUUUCAUUGAUAUCAUUAUACACACGCCCAUAAUGAGCUAUCCAUUGCUCGUACCUCCCAUAAGCUAAUGCAUCUUGCAGGCUACGAGAAGUGGCUUCCGAAGACCAGGCCCCCAGCAUGAUCAGGACCAAUGCCAAGCAGAUACAUUUACUCUGGUUGGUGAACUCCAUUGUAGGCUAGAAUAUGAAAGUUGAUGAAGAUGAAUAUGAGGAGGUGUAGUGAAAUGGUAAGACUACUCAAGACAGUUUAUAUAGAGAAAAUAAUAGCCUUUGUAUAUUAUUUCCGUGCCCCAAAAUGCAGUCUGCAAUGUCCCUACUCCUUGCACAAGAAAACGUUCUGAUAUGAACCUGCUGUAAGAUUAUUAUAUAGUUAAUAUGACUAUUGUUCUAAUUUGAUGCUUGUAUUGCCAAACCCUUAUUAUCUCUGUCCUUAAGUGCAUAGUGCGUAAUUAACUUAUAUGAAAACAGCCUAAUAACCACAACUAUGAAGUGACUUAAUUAAAUCGAGAAACAAGUCUUAAGAAAUCUACAACUUGGUUAAUAAAAAAAAACAAAAAUCUCCCAUCAUCAGUUAGAAUUGUCAAGCACCAAGCACACUACUCUCUGUAACCCAUUAGGAAUAAGUACCAUAUUGAGCGAACAUAUGGUAUUUCAUAAUGGGUUAAGCUUAUAUAAUCUCAGAAAAGCAGAAGUGAUGAAAAGCUAUGACAAAAGAGGAUAAAUUCGUACGAGUAAGCAAGAAUUGAGCCCAUAACAAGAUAGGUUGUUACAACACACCGGCUUAAGCAGUUGCAGCAAAAAUAUACAACAAGCAGAGUAUGAACAACAACAGAAAUAACAAUUAGUGUCCAUAACUUCUUUCUCCUGCUGUAAGUUGGAGCAAAAAGGCACAAUAAAAAGCAGGAAACUGCAGCUCAACAGCUUAAUGAUACCCUGUUCACUUGCAUCAUAUACAGCUUAAUGGUACCUCUAUUCACUUCCCAACAGCUUAAUGGUACCUGUUCACUUGCAUCAUAUACAAAAGUGAUCUUUGAAUCUAUAUCUGCUCAAAAUUCAUUGGACAUCUUAUGUGCCUUGGAAUAAUCACUGUUCUAGAAGGGCUCCUUGCUUUACGACACCUGUACUAAUGCAUUCAUAGAAAACCGCACUUUGCAAGAAUAGAGUAUCCCAAGAACUCAAAGUCUAUCAAAAAUACUGUUCUGCUGACUAAAGCUCAAAGAAUAUAAUACUGAUAAGAGGCAAGGAGAGAAGAAGGCCCAUGAAUACAAUCGAUGGAUUUGAAGAAAAGAAGCAGGCUAUAUCCAGAUGAAAGGGUAAAGAAAAAGACAUACCACUAAGUCCACGACAUGGAGAAGAAUACGACGAUUCCUCUCCUUCGGGAAAUACCUCUAUGUUCGAAAGAUACAAUCAUAAAACUAAAACAAGUCCUUCAGAUAUGUUAAGCUGCAUUGGCAACCCUCCCAAAAAAUGAUGAAACUUCUACUCACAGCUUUCAAAUAUAUGAAACACAUAGAACAUGUUCCAAUAUUUCAUACAGAAACAAACUGAUUCACUGAAUUUGUUCCAAUAUGCAAAUCUCCAAGGGGUUACAUAUCUUAAAACAUACUACAUAACUGAUUCACUGAAUUUUAUUGAGAACAAAGGUUCCAAAUUCAAUCAGUUAUAACAUACAUGGAUUUGCAUAACUCAGUCUUUGUUUAAAAACGUGAUACUUCAGAACGGACAAAGAAUUGGCCUGUAGGGCCAUCAUCAGGCAGCAAUGCUAACUUCACUACACUUGCAGCGCCUUCUUCAACAGGCAAUACGCCAGUAUUGAAGUUUAUAUCUGUUUUGACAUAGCCAGGGCAGACAGAGUUGACACGAAAACCAGGAAACUUCUUGGCUAAAAUACGCGUAUAUGCAUUCAGUGCUGCUUUUGAGACUGUAUAGCCUGACAGGAAAGAAGCAGGCCAACCCUUGAUUUCAAGUGAACCCUCCUUGAAGUCUUUUAGAAACUCUGUCAAUAUUUCAUCUACACUCUCUUCGCUCAGGUCCUCGGCAUCAGUACUAAGAACUUCUUUCACCCGAUCACUUGGUAUGUUCUCCAACUUCCCCAUAGAGGAUGCAACAUUAACAAUUCUUGGUGAAGCGGAUAGCUGGAGGAGUGGAAUAAGUGCUUCAGCUGUUCUUUUAGCACCAUAAUAAUUGAUUUGCAAGCAUUCUUCUGUUGACUCAUAAGUUUCAGUCAUGAACUUUCUCACAUCAAUCUGUCCUCCUUCCUGCAUGAAAAAGGAACUUAUUCUUUGACGGUCUAUAGAAUUCUCAGUAAACUAUUACAAAAUAAACCCAAAUAAGACCUUUGGCCAAACCAAACAUCAAACGAGAAUUGUCCUAUUAGUACAUUGAACUAGUGAAGAAUUUAGUUCUAAAUGGCUAUUACAAUAGAAUUGUGUAAUAAUCUGAUAAACAAAACAGAUUAAGCCAAAGAGAAGUUAAGGGCAACAUAAUUAACCAAGGUUUUGCUUUAUCAAAGGACUGUGUGCAAUACUGGAAUAACAAAGAAGUAAGUUGAUGACUUACAGCAGCAGAUCCAGAUGCAGCUUUAUAACCAUCAGUAUCAACUAUAACUCCACCAAUCCCGGCAUUGUUGACCUGUCAAAGUUCAACAUCUUAAUAUCUCUACUAUUACAAAGCAUGGUACAUGUCAACCACUUAACAUUAUCUGAUGACGCUUUCAUAUCUAAAUACUUGUACUGAGAAAGGUAGUAUUGAUGAUGAGUUUCCAAAGAACAGAAACUUCUCAAGAAUUGAGCUUUGAUGAUACCAGGAUAUCGAGUUUCCCGAACUGUGUUUUGAUGAAUUGGGCCAGAGAAGCAAUACUAGCAGGGUCAGCCACAUCAAGUUGGUGGAAAACCACUUGCCCUGAGAGGCCAGACAUUUUAAGUUUCUCCACAGCUUCAAGGCCCCUCUUCUCAUCUCUAGCAGUUAAGACCACAGUGAUUCCCUUUGUGGCCAAUUGCCUUACAGUCUCGAAUCCGAUUCCUUUGUUUGAUCCUGUCACAACUGCAUACCUGGAACAAUACAACAACCAAAUUCAGGAAAGAACAGAAAAAAAAAGUGUUACAGAAGUAGUGGUAGUAGACUAGUAGUACUACCUCUUAGUUGAUUCUGCCAUUGAUGGGUCUUGAGAUUUGAGACAAGAGAAAGCCUUGGUACUCUUCCUUUAUAAAGCCGUUGAAAGUAGAUUCCAGUAAACUGGGCAAGGCUAUGAUAAAACUAUGUCGUUUUGCUUUUGUCUGUACCUUUUCUUGUAAACUACGAGGAAUCAAUACUUUCAUGGACUUGAUCACCAUAAACAAAUAUUUUUGAUGGACUUUAGUAUAGACACUGCGGUAACGCAAAUGACUACAUUAUUCUGAAACUUUAGUGGUGGAAAUAUGGACUAGUUGGCUGUUUUUCAAUUAUAGCAUUACUUUUGACUCCAUGAGGGGGUCUUGAAAUCAUACCCAAAUUCUAGAGUAAAAUGGUUGCUUGGUAUGAACUAUAAAAUAUAAAUGGAUAUUACUCUAGUUCCCUUUUCGAAGCUUGGGUAGCAUUAACCGUGAAGCCUUGGACAUUAACACUCGGCACAUACAGCUUUCAAAUGGUUCAAAGGCAAUAAUACCAAGUUCACAGUAAUACAUAGAACAAAUACAUUGCUCAUAAAAUUGAGUCGAUAAAUUAUAUAUCAGCAAUGUAUUGUUCAAACAUAUUGUUCAAACAGUAGUGGUACCAAGAAUAAGUUGCUUGGCUGCAAAAAUAGUAUAAAUCUAAGUGCCGAAAAGAUAGCCAGGAAGGUAGUGACCAGUCAUGUACUGCAUGUGAUGCCAAAGCCUCAUUUUUCAUGAACAAGAGGGCUGUAAACAGGGAACCACAUACUGCGGGUAAUAUAGUCCACUAUCUCCUCCUGCAACCAAUAAAUUAAAUCCAAACAAAUUCAAGAGUAUUAGAAUCAGUUCCAUAUCUACAGCGAGUUCUUUUUUUGACAAAGACUACAACUAUACUAGCAUCUGAUCAUCUCUCCCUUGAACUUCUCCCUCCUAUGAUCCUCUCAUCAUUAGAACAUCAUUUUUCUACCAGAUGUUUAUUAGAACAUCAUUUUUCAUGUAUGGUGUUAAAUUCAAUUUUGAAACAUGUUUUUUGCAGACUGAUUUAUAGAGAGAUUUCUGUUUUGUUAAACGAAUAUCAAACAUAAGUUCAUACUUUUGACAUGUGCGACAGCUCUCUGGGACCCACUUCACCAUGUCCUUCUGCCAGGUCUUCUGCAACAGCCGCACGCACAACAGCAGCUCCAACCUCUGCUGUAAUAUCUCUAAUACUGCGCCAUAUACAAUACAAAAGUCAGAAGUUAUACUAUCAACAGAAUCCAAAGUUCCCGCUGUCAAUUUAGAGUUCUUAUUUAGUUUGAACCAUAUAGUCUGUUAAAUGAUUAGAAUAACUUAAUUAUAGAUGCCGCCUAAUAAUUUCCAUGGAGAUAAUACCGACUGUUAAUAGUAUGGGGGUUUCUAGAAUACAGUAAUUUGACAUGCUGUUUGAUCAAGUGAUAGCACAAGGAGAUGGGAAUAUUACCUAUCAAUACAGGGAUAUAAGAUGCCCUUUCGGAUGUCUUCAUCUGUCAUAUAUGUAGCAAGGCUGGACAUGAGAGAAUCAUUGGUCAGAAAUUAAUCAAAAAUAGUUCGAGCACUAACAUCAUAAAUUUUCUUUGUUCUCGAUGAUGUAAUCAAUGAUGCAUCACACUAAUACUACAAGAUGUAACAGUGAAAUUUGUGUAAAAGAUUGGAAAUGGAUAAAGAAUGUAACAAGACCACAUCAAUCAUUUGGAAUCUUCAAGACCACUGUUACAUAUGAUGACUUUGUGGGCAUGAUAAGAAAAUAAUUAUGCAAAUCCAAUAGUAAGGACUAAGCUGAUAACAACUUCCAAGAAGUAUUAGCAUGAAAAUGUGAUUGAAUGUGUAGAUAGUAAUCGUAUUAUGAUAGUCCAACCCCAAAAUUGAAGUACCCAAGAACUUAUUUUUUUUUUUUUUUUGUAAAAGCAAGAGAAAGAACACUUUUUUUUUUUUGUGAACUGAGGUUAUCUUUACAAGAACUGUCUGCUAAACAGUGGGGAUACUCUAGGCUUAAAAAUUUCCUGCUCACUUUCAAGACCAAAUUUUCCCCAUAUUUUUUUCUAUUUUCAGGAAAAUGUGAAUUAUGUUGCAAUACAUAUUUAUUUCACAAUUAUGAAAUCUUCUGUUCUUACCAUUCAGAUGCUGCUUGCAACAUGCCAUCCGAUAUCAAACGAGCACCUGAAAGAAGUGCACCUAAACCAAUCCUGAAUUGGAGGCAACCGAUAUGCUAAUUGUCAAGUUAAGGAACAUAGUUAAUUUAAAACUAAAACAAAAGAAUGUGGAACUAACCCUGGGAACAGGUACAUGUUAUUUGCUUGAUUAACAUGGCCGACUUUUCCAUUGCCUGCCAACAUGAAAUGACAUCCAUGGUCAAUCUAAUUAAACAGACAAGAAAGUAAGAACCUAAGCAUAAUAACUCCAGCCUGCAGUGGCUCACAUCUUAUGUCAAAUGAAGUCAUUGCUUUAAUAGCAUGUUCACACAGUAAUCCGUACCAGAAAGACAUUGUAAGAAAGAUAUACCUAGAUCAACAUUCUCAAAGGGACUUCCACUUCCAAAGACUAUGUUUUCACCCGCAUGCUUAAAGGCAUCUUCAGCAGUGCAUUCAGCUAUUCCAUUGAUAAAAAGACAAAUAUGCGAGUCAACUAUAAAAUCUAGAUGCCUUGAGAAAACUGAGAUUUGACAAGGCUCAGGGGAACAAACCAUUCUUGGUUGGAUUCGACAUAGCAAAGAUGGCUGGUUUGACGGACUCAGAUUCUCGCAUUGCUUUAAGCACCUACAAUUAAAAGCCAGGGAAUAUUAUAGCUAUGAGAAAUUCACUCAAAGAAAAUAAACCAAAAUAUAUCCAGAGUUUAGGCAAGACAUAGAGAUGAUGCACAAGUGUCAGUUGCUGACAGUAGAACCAACCUAGUUCAGUAAAAAGCAGCAUUAGGUUUAAAAACAGCACACAUCGAAUCAGAAUCAAAUUAUCCUCGGUAAUUUAAGUGAUGGGGAUACUGUAAGAUAUAAUAAAAUGCUAACCUCCUCAUUGAAGACACCACCGACUCCUGACAAACCAAGAAGUGCAUGAGGCUUGAUCUUCUUAACCUGCACAAAAUCGAGCUCUGACCAGUUAAAUCUAAUUGCAGACGUAUAAAUUUCAAAGAUAAUUAGUACUGGCAAAUUGGUUUGAUUUUCCAUAAAAUCUUUAUGCUUUCGCCGUAGGGAAUUUAAUGAACACUCCUCUGAGAUUUACCACUUCAAGUAGACUAGCUCCCUCCCUAAGCCCUUCAGUCUCUGAUGGAUCCCUAGCAAAGGGUGCAGCCAUAGGAUCAAUAUAUUUCCUCUCUUUUGUGACUAGACCCUGUACUCAAUAUAGAAAAGCGUAAAACAAUAUCAGUCAAAAGUCUGGUACAUGUAGAACAAUACAUAAAUCAGAAUGCAAUUAUACAUUUCUUUUUCUCAUGUGAAGACAGUGUAAUGUCAUGAAUAUGUGAGUGAAUGUUUACUUCAAUUAGCAAUAAGCAAGUAGAUGACAAGACCAUAACAUAAUUAUUAAGUAAUUUGCAAAACAUGCGUAUGAUCCUGCUAACAUAUACAUUAGGGUUAUCAAUCAACAGAAAAGGACAGCAAGAACUUGAAGAAAAAGGAUUUGGCCAUUACAUCUUUAUCAAGCAGAAAAAAUGGAUUUUUGGCAGCCGCACCACUGGUCCCUGCCAUUCUUGAAACAGCCUGUACAGCCAUGCUAAGAACACCGAGUCCGGCACUGAAAGAUGUAGGAAUGAACAAAAGGAUCAACAUGGCUCCAAAUAAUAGGCAACACAACUCAUAAUAUAGCCCAAAUACGGUUCUGUAUAAAAAAUACAUAAAAAAUUUUAAAAAAUCAAUUACCUUCCGGCUCCCACAACAACUAUCUUUUGGUUCACAAAGUCUGACAAGGGUCGACCUUGGGCUCUUACAGUUCCUAGUAGUCCUGCAAGUGCAACACCAGCAGUUCCCUACAACGAAUGACGUGCAACUAUCAGAGGUACUGACUUCAAUUUACCAGCAUUCUGAAACGUAUAUAUAACAGAUAGAAAGAAAUACACCUUGUUAUUACCUGUAUAUCAUCAUUGAAUGUGCAAAACUUUUUACGGUAACGUUGCAGCGUUUCAAAUGCCCACUUCAUUUGAAAAUCCUCAAACUGAAAUGAAAAACCCCUUAAAUUAAUAGAUUGUACAAACCUAUGCAAUAUGAAAAGGCAAUACUUCUCAAUAACAUAAACCUGCACAAUGGCCUUGGGCCAACGUGUAUGAAUGGCUUCCAUGAGCUCAUCAAUAAUUGAUAUGUACUCUUCUCCUUCCAACCUAGGUUGUCGAAGUCCUAAAUCUAUCAAAGUAAAAUCAUGAGAAAGGAGUAUCCUCAUGAUAUAAGAUAGACAUUUUUCAAGCUAUUAAGUCCAGGCAUACAGUGCACAUGGAAAAGAAAACAACAAUUCAACAAUACAUUGACUCCUAGGAUAAUUAAAAAUAAUCCAUUCAAAACUUAGAAAGAAAUAAUAAAAUUAACUAGCAUGAUCAUGAUGAUUCGAUUUGGAAUCAAAUUAUCACUUUAAAUAGGGUACACCAACACAACAUAAUUGAAGAAAAACAGAAAAUAUAGAAUCGAAUUUCAGUAUCAUUAUUUCUGAAAGCCACAGAGACUACAGUCAUAUUAUAUCAGAUACAUUGAUCAGGAGGUACAAGAUCAACAAAUUUAAAGAACAAAACACUCAAACAAGGAACCAUGCAGAAACUGGAUAGAUAUUAGAGCUCAAAUUAACUUACAAAGACGGUCAUCAAGUAGGUUUUGAUUGUUAGUACCAACAUCAAGCAUAACUGGCAGUAUCUGUCGAAGAGGUUAACAAGUCAGGUAAUAGAAGUUACCAGAUAAUUUACAACCAAAAGAUAAGUAGACACCAAACUAUUAGACAAUCAAUAGCAUUAGAAUUUCAAGAGAGAGAGAGAGAGAGAGAGAGAGAGAUAACAUACUCUCUGUGGAUUAAUACCAGCUGCAGCAACAUACAUAUCAAGUUUUCCUAUUGGUAUUCCAAUUCCCUGAACUCCAAGAUCACCUAGGCCGAGAAUACGACUGCCAUCUGUGAUGACUAUCAUUUCUACCUGUAACAUAAGAGUGGAAAAUGAAAACCAACUACGAAUACAACAGAACUAAAGAAAUUAGGGAGUCGAAUACUAUGCUCAUAGCAGCAUUCUGAAAUCGUAAAUAUCAAAAAUAUCUCAACACAGGUACAUCACUGAAAUGAUAUGCAGAGGAAACAUACGUGGAUAAACAUCUUUGGUCCUCUAUGGUAACAACACAGUCAAGUAUAAAUACUAUGGAUUAUUAAGAUUUUAGGCCAUUCCUUGAAGAUGUGUUCCAUGUCUUUCAAGGAGAGAAACAAACAGAGCAGCACAUACCUGAUUAGCAGGCCAAUUGUAGAUCAUAGACAUCAUCUCCCCUUUGUCCUUUGCACUGAAAUACAUUCCGCGCGGGCGUCUAAACAACCCUGAAUAAUUUUGGCACACCAAUCCUACCGUAGGAGUGUAUAUGAUAGGAGCAAAGUCCUUUAUGUUAUCUAUAAGAACCUGGAACGAAAAACAAUAAAAUCCUCCAUUAGAUCCCAAUAGUAUACAAUGUUCUUCAGUAUCUACUAGCUGGAACCAAAACCAAACUUACUCGAUAGUAUAAAGUCUCAUUCCUGUCAUGCAGUCUAUUCAAAAUCCUCCACUUUGCCAACGCGAUGACGCCUUCUGGUUGUCCCGCAGUAUUUUUCUCCAGAGACCGAUACGACUCCACUGACAAUUAAAAUCAUAAUGGCAUUAGCUACUAAGCCCUCUAUGCCAUUAGCAAACUAAAUAACCAGUGAUAUCAACUUUGGUAGUAAGCAAUUCCUACUACAUUCAUCGAAAACUGAUAAGCACAUUAUAUUCGAACAAUAAGUUACAGUAGGGAUAGAUUACUUACUGAAACGAGCAUAUUGCUGCUCGAAAGAUAUGACACGCGGUGGGAGUAGACCUCGAAGUCCUAAUCGAUCUCUUUCAGUGAGAGGAAAUCCAGUAUCCUGCUCUUGAGAACAGUCCAGAACAGAGAAUCAAAAUUAAGACAAAAAAAAAAAAAAAAAAUCAAAAUUCACAACACAUCAUCCAAUUCUCAGCAUAAUUCACUACACAAAUUACACUUGCUCAAACACAAAUCCAAAAUAAAUAAAAACAAAAAACUACAUAUCAAUCACAAACUAAAAUAGCCUUACAAAAUCAUCAAAAAUCCAAGAUCAUCACAAUGCCUAGUUCCACAAUUCAAGUAACGAAAACGCAAAUGGAAGAAUUGACUUAUUGACCGAACCUUAUUGAACCAAGGAUCGUGGAGAAUAUCAGCGCCGCGCUUGUGAACAAUACAAGGCCCGGGAAUCGCCGUCGACAACAUCCUCGUCGAUUGGCUCAGCCGCGACGCCGCGAAUCGCGACACCUUCCACAUUCUUCCAAACCCUAACAAUUCACACUCCGAAACACACACACACACAAAAAAAUCUCAGAGAGAGAUAGAGAAAACGAACGAGUGUGUGUCUCAGACUCUCAGAGCUCAAGCUCCGAUUCCAUAACAGCUCAGAGAUCACAGAAUUUAACCGAUGCGUUUCACUCACUGUGACUUCAUACCGCUCUAUUUAUACAGCAAUGGAAAUCUUUUUAUUUCCAUAAAUAUUAAAGAUUUACUGAGAUUUUAAUUUAUGGUUUGCUCCAAAAAGUCUGUGUCUGCGAAAAUAGUAGCCGACUGAGAAGACUUGAGGGAAGAGCUGCCCGGGUUAUACGGGCAGGGGGGAGGGAAGACAGUUUCUAGCUGACCGGAGGAGAAUCGGGCAGGAGGAGUAUAAAUGCAGAAUGUGGGGCAUUUAUUAUUAAUUAUUUGUAUGGAAAAGUGGUGGGUUAUGAUUGGAGGGUUGAUUAUUUUUUAAUUAUUAAGUUACCUGUUGGAGAGAGGCAAGUGGAGGAAAGAGAAGGGAGGGUGCGGAGUCUGAACCCGAACUAGGGUUGGCUGGUUGGGUUAAUGUUCCAGUGGUUUAGGGACCACUGACAAAAGGGUGAGCUUCCUUCUGUCUGGUUAAGGACUGGGAUUUUGCCAUGUGACUAUUUUGGUUAGGGUAAUGUUUUUUUUUUUACCCAGAAAAUACAAAAAGGUAAAUUUUGUUUGCUAGUGUGCACUUGGUAAAUAAAUGGAUGAAAUAUUACCGCAUGAAGGUGGUUCGGGGUUUAUACGAGUUUAGACGAUGAGUGAUGUUGAGGGCAUUGAAUUUGUUUAGUCACGUUAAGCUAAGUACUUUGGUGAUUGAUCAUAGUCUAACAUAGACGGAAGAUUGUGAUAGUGAAAUCUACACUUCUCAAUCUGCUAUUUACAUUUUUUUUUGUGUUUUUUUUAUAGAGAUUGACACGGUAUCUUUUAAAGAUUUUUUGUUCAUGUUAUUAAAAGACAAGAUCUAAGCUAUUGAAAAAUAUUCAUGAAGUGUAAAUUGUGAAACGGAUAGUGUGAAUUUUGUUUCUUAUUGAGGAUAGUAGUUUAGCUUAUAUCAUUUUGAAUAGAGUCCAUGAAAUGUUUCAAAAUCUUUAACCCAAUAGUAAGUUAAACCUUUGAUUAAGAAGAUAAGAGGACGAGCUACAUCACCCUCAAAUCCUCAAAUAACAAUUGUGGGUUGUCAAAUCAAGGGGUUUCUUGCCAUGGUGAUAAGUCACGAGUCAUGACAAAUCUAAUCAUAAAAAUAAAAGACAGGUGAGACUGCUCAAAUUGGCAAAAGGCCAAAGGACCAAAGAAGACUCAUAUGGGGAAGGUCUUUAUGUUGUGAACCGCACUAGAAACAAAGUUGAUCACUAAUAAAUAUGCCUACAAAGAAAACCUUUCCCUGCAUAGAAUUGUUUGAUUUUUACACCCAAUGAAUGAACUCAAUGGACAGCAGGUUAAGGUUUGUCCAUCCAUUUUUAUUGACUGUUGAAAAGACAAUAUCACCUGCCUAGAUGAAUAUGAAGGCAGCAAGAAUAAAGAAUAAAUGUGGAAGAACCUCACCUGCAGUCAAUUAAGAAGCUUCAGAAUUCAGAUGGCCAGAAACGGGCAUGCAGAACUGCCAAAUGAAAAGUUGGAAGAGCAGUGCCCAUGAAUAGAGAGUGAACUAAAUCUCGAAUCUAAUUCCAUUUGGGUGAUGCAACAGAUGAGUUCUGCCUCCCCCUUUCUCCUUUUAUGUUUGUCCCGAAACAAUGGUUUAGGCUUUAGAGGAACCUCAUAGCCUUUCAAUUUAUUCCCUGUCCUAUGGAUGGUUAUGCACAACGCCGUCAGCGGCACAGCAGACAAUUCUUGGAAUGGAAGAUAUAGACUUUAAACUUCAUAUUAUACAUGCAUAUUUUGAUGCUUAAAGUUUGAGGCUAUCAGCAAAACAAGUAUGAACAGUUCAGGGAUCUUAUUACUUUAAGCUAGAACGCGAGUUGACAAUUUAUUUUGGCAAUUGAUUGUAUAGCAAGUCAAAAACUCACACAAUGAGUCAUAAAUUCAGUACUGUUGAAGUCUGAUCACAAAAAUGUCUUAAAAGGCUGCUCGCUUAUAAUCUCAGCAAACAACUACCACAAGGAAUAAUUUGCAUCCUGGAAGCUUUAGUUACACAACCUCCACCUGUACUUCUUUUACUGGAUGCUCCAAAAACAAACUCAGUAGUCGUCCUUCUUUCCAAAGUUCUUGCACCACAUUUGUGAAGGAAUGGGGCGAACUGGGUGAUGUGGCCGUUGCUGCAAAAACACAUAAACCCAUUAGAAGUGAAUAUCAAAAGUGUAACAAACUUCAGUCCUAGAAAGGAUGUGGCUCAAAACAAUUCAAGAGGAACAGCAUCUAUUCCCACUUGGAAUUUUUCUCCUUUUGACAAGUAAUAGUAAUUUUCAAGCCCAUGCACUAUUGAGGAUUAUUUCUGAAGCAAAGAAAGCAUCCAAAAGAAAAGACGUAGAUACAAAGAAACCAAAAAGAUGGCUGACCGGAUAUUCAAGAAACCUCCUUCAGCCAUGAUCACAGGGCAGUAAUAUGAAACCACAUAACGUCUUUUAUUUGUAUAACCUUUUCGAUAUUUCAAAAGCAUAGCAGGACUAUAUAACAUAACAAUUUCCUCAAUGUCAUUACUUCUUGGCAUUACUUCAACAAGGCCAUGGCAAUAAUCCUUGCCAGCUAGUAGCAUAAAAGAAGGCCAGCAUGCCUUAGCCACAUUAUUAUUGGGUUGUUUGUUAAUGGCUUGCAGAUCUAAGCACAGUUUCAUUACUGAGUGGGCUGUUUUGAGUCAUGACUAGGGUUUAUUUCAGAUUCUCCUAUCUUUGAUAUUCGAUAGCUCUGAGUAAAACAAAUCAAAAAAUGAUUUGUAAAUCAACAAGCUUUUGUGUUUAGCAGUUGAGCACACAGUAGAUAAACAUGUUUUCUUCAAAUUAUACAUGGAUGAAGCGAUACUAAACCUUAGCUAUGCCAAGUAGUAUGCUUAGCACCAAAUCAAUGUUAAAUAACUGUAGAUGACUUCUUUUUCCAUGACAGUUAUUUAAUUCAGAAAGCAAAAGCCGAUAUUUAUUUGAAAACCAAAACAAUAAUGAAAUGUAUCACCAUGUGCACCAAGUAAAACCAUGUAAAAACCAAUAACCAAAUAACUAAACAAUGUACACAGUUAUUAUAAACAAAAAGAACGCAGUUUAAGUCUUUAACAGAUAGUAAGGUGUGAUAUUUUGUAUCAAUAAAAAAUUGUGAACGAAAAGAAACUCCAGACUUAAACAUCUUGCAGUUCGUUGAAAAAUGGUGGUAAUUUUUCACACUCCCUAUCACUCCAUAUACUUCCUUUUUGUUUUUAAACCAUCUAUAUAUAUAUAUAUACAUCUUACCUCUUUCCCAAAACUAUCCCCGAGUCAUGACUCUUUCAAGAAACGACCUUUUGAUAACUUGCACAUGUUACUCAGCUGCUUAAUGUGCUAUGUUUCACAAAUCAUGAGGUCAUGCUGGCUGAAAAGUUCAAACUGUGCGCCGAAAUCUAAAGUUCAUCUUCACUCUAGUAAGUCUAGGUCUCAUUACUACCUUACCUUUUCAAAUAUCCAAAUGCCUAAUUUGAAUCCUUAACAUAUCUCUUCAUACUCACCCCUCAAUGAGUUUCUAUCUGAAAUUCAAUUUACCCCGUAACUCAACCUAUAUUUUUAACUUACACAUACUCAGUUGUAGCUACCAAGGGUUUCCUCUUUUGACAUCCAAAUUAGUCAUCAGCUUAGCAGCCAAGACAAUCCUUAACAAUCAAUUAUCCUACACUAAACUCACAAAACCAAAAGCAACUUUUCAAACAGACAAAACCCAAUUCAAAGUCUUUCUGGUAAUUGUGGACACAGACUAGUUGCCUUAUCAACAUUUCAAUUGCCGAGUUUCCCAUUCAAUCGUUGCAUUCCUUCCAAAUUCAUAACAUGGUUCCUUUUAUACACCUGCAGCCACUGAAUGGUUAUGCACGAGACACCCAAUUCCGUCCGGCAGAUGGUUAGUAAGAAGAUGCAAGAGCACUGUAACUCUGAACCUUAGUCCAUUAAGGUUGCUGGGUCUACUGUGAUGAGGUUGGGUACAGAAGAAAAGACACAUGCUCUGAGGGUUUAGGUACUACGAUGUUGUCGAUUACAAUGUAGUUUUGAGCUUCAAACCUAGAGAAAGUAACGGUGACCCCAGUCUAGAUUCAGAUCAGUUUUGGAAUGGGAAGAAGAAUAAGAUCAAUAUAUUGAAAAUUUGGAAAACAGAAAGGCAAUGUGAGCAGUAAUAAGGCAGUGCGGAAAGUGCAACCCAGAAGUAAAACCAUUUCUAGUAUUCAUGGUAUCUGACACUAGCAAGGUUUGUUGUAGAUAUUGCAAGUGUUUGAGAUAGGAAUAGAUUUCAUUUCAAAUGAAAAGUAAGUGCAGAAACCAUGUCAACCAACGCCUACUUAAGUGAAAACGGUACUUGGGAGCGAAGUCUGUCCUCCAGAUGAUCUUAACCGCUGGGUUUAACAGGUACGUCCUCCAGGUUACAGCAUCUUCACAAUCUGAGAACUCUUCAUACAUCUCCUAAACUCUCUUUCAAAACAUUAUCCAAAAUCCAACUUUUCAUUGUCUGCUACCAAGUGUUCCUAAUUCAAUGUUUCGGUCACUACACCACCCUACACUCAUCUGUUCACUCGAUGAUUCACUCUAUAUUGUUGAGCAAGACCUUGUCAUCCACAACUUGACAAGUCUAAAACCGCUGAACAUUAUCACAUAAACCAAACCUAACUUCACACUACGUAAACCACUACAAAUACUUGAUUUGCUCAUUUAAACAAACCAAAACCCUACACCUCAACUAAAGCAAUACAACAUCAAACUGCCUCAGAGCUCAUCUGGGUCCAAAAUUCACAAGUCAAAACUCAAUCUUCACCUCCUGGGUCUAACCCUACAAACCCAAGAUCCAAACUUUCCUACAUUUCUAAACAUAAAUCCAAAAAAAUCCAAAACAAAACGACUUAGAGACGAAGAUGAACAAACCUCGAGCUCGGCAGAUUUCAUAGCGAUGGGAAUGCAGACGAGGAAGACGCCGAACAUGGCGAUCGCGGUGUUGCGCUUCCAGUGCUUGGGCCUGCAGUAGGGCCCACCGCUCAUGCUCCACACCUUCGCCCUGAAGUCACCUCCGUGGGCCCCUUCCCCGUGAGCAUGUUCGCCUCCGCCCAUUGCUCCGAUCACCGACUCUCUCUCUCUCUCUCUUCUCUGUCACAUCAGAAAAAGCAAAACCCUAAUUAGAAUAUGAGUAGCGGAAUCGUGAAAUUGGGAUUGGAAUUUGAAGAAGGGGAGGAUUGGGAUGCGAGGUGAGCUCAACCUGACUAAGGGGAUUGUAGAGCUCGAAGAUGACGAUGAGCUUUGUUUUGGGGACUAUUGGGUUUUCGUUUUAGUUCCCUUUUCAGUGAACUCUCUGGGUACUGUUUGUAUUUUAGGGUCGGGUAUGGAGCUUCGGGCUGGCCCAAUUUUGUUUGUUUGUCCAAAACAUCCCAUUUAUACUAUAUAUAAGUAGUAUUUACAUGUUCAUUAAUUGACCAAAUAUACUGAUUAUGAAUCUCUUGGUUAAUUACUGUAUAGGUAAACACUACUGUAUAUUUAUACUACAUACUAAAACAGAGUUUCCUUAUGUUUUCGGGCGGGCCCGAAAUUACAUAUUUGCCCUUACUGUCAUGGAAAAUCUCAGUUUUACCACAUACCAGUAAAAAACCGUUUUACCCUUUCUCGCGAAAUUAUAGGGGUGCGCAUAAAAAACUGUAAUCUCGAACUCGUCCCGAAAUUUGCCGGGACGAGUUAGGAUUUCAAUCUCAAAACGUGAGGCCCGUCCCGUUUAUAUAUAACGGGACGAGACACGGGACGGAUAAUUCAAGUCUCGUUUAGGCCCGUCCCGUCCCGACUAUUUUAAUGAUUGAUUUUUUAUUGAUUAAAAUGUGAUUUGAGCAUUUCAUUUAAGUGUUUUGAUCUUAGCUCUUUGUUUCUUUAAGUUACUAGAUUGUCUUCAAUUCAAUAACAGUGAUGUUUAAUGCUUUAAUUUGUUGAUUGUUGUAUACUCUCUUUUUGCAUCCUAGUAGUGAUGACAAGUUCAGAGAAAGUAAGUAAUAUAAACUCUCUUUUUACAUCGUGUUGUACUUGUAAAUAUUUUACAAGUUGUAAAUAUUUUAAAAGUACUUGUUAAUACAUAAUAGAGUAGAGAACACUAUAAAACUAUAAAACUCUUUCUUUGGCUUAUAAGUUUAUUUUCAACUUUUUUAUCCGGGAUUGGGCCCGUCCCGUCCCAACCGGGAUAGGGUUCGGGUGGGAUGAAAUCUAAAAAACGCAAAACUCGUCCCAUCUCGUCCUGAUUUCAAUGUCCGGGACGGGUCGUGGGAUUAGCUCUAUCCCGUCUCAUGCCCAGCCUUACAAAAUUACAUAUUUACCCUUCUUGUCAUGGAAAAUCUCAGUUUUACCAUAACCCAGUAAACGACCAUUUUAUCCUUUCUCUCAUAACUUUUUACAAUUUUACCUCUCAAUUUUCAGUUACUUUUCAUUAGAGUUAUGAAAAAGAUUAUUUUACCUUUCUCGAAUAGCCUAAUUACAGAUUUGUCAUGCUUCCACUCUUAACCCGCAACAACGCGCGGGUCGCUGCCUAGUUAUAUACUAUUUGUCAGUUUCCUUAGGAACAACGAUUUUGGCUUCAAAAUUACAAUUAUGUCUUUAUGUUUUAUUUAAUCACAUAAUUGUCAUUAACUCUGUAAAAUGAUUGUUUUGCCCUUCGUUUUCAUAGAAAAGAUUUAUAGAACUCCUUCAUAUCUCUUACAUCCUUUGUAUCAAUAUAGGAAUUGAAGAAAAUAACCAUCAGACUUUUGGACCCGCAACAACUCGCGGGUAAAAAUUUAUAGUUAAACCAUAAAUGAAAAUAAGAUGCUCUUCAGUGAAAAUGGAAAACAACAUCGUGUUGUGCGCCAAAAGUAGUGUAGUGGAGGUCGUAAAUGUUGGUGCUAGCUGCUCGUCACGGGGGAAGAAAAGAUUCUACUACAAUGAGUUAGAAAAUAGGGAAAAUGAAAGGGCCCUUAAAGUAAAUAGAGAAAAAAAAAAUCAAAAAUCAAAAACCCUCGUGAAUAUAAGUAUCGUAAAAUUGACAUGGGAACUGUCCAGACUCCAGAGUCCAAACCAUGCAUAUACAAAUAGAACGGUGGCUUAUGUGCCAAUUUAUUACAAUCUGUGGGUGCAUAAGAGCAUUAUACACUUGAAAACAUCCCUCAACAUUAAGUUGAUCGAUCUUAUCUUGAAGAGUUUUAUCAUUUUGAAUUAAACUCAUCAGAUGUGCAGUGUUCACUAGUGGAUAGAUGAACACUGUAGAAUGAGACUGUCAGAUGGAAUUUCUUAGCCUAGUCCUUUGAAGUUUGAAUGACUUAAUGUUAAUCCAUUCUUGACAAAUACUAAGUAUCAGAAAGAUGAAAGACAAAGAAAAGAUAGAGAAAAAAGUUUUAUUAAACGGGUAAGGCUAGGGUGUGUUAAUGCAUAUGAUGUAUCAACUUUGUCCUCAAAGUAGUAAUAUUAGUCUUUAAAAUUAUAAUAUGAGUCGUUAAAGUUGUAAAAAAAAUUAGUUACAACAUUAGUCCUCAUUUGUCUUUAAAUUUGUCCUUAAAAUGGUAAUUGAGUCCUCAAAGUUGUAAUACGAGUUCUCAAAGUUGUAACAACACUUUUUUAAUCACUUUGAGGACUCAAUCACCACUUUAAGCACACAUUUUACCAUAUUAUGAACACAUGAUUACUAAUAUUGUAACUAGAAAAUUUUACAACUUUAAUGACUCAUAUUACAACUUCGAGAACUAAUAUUACUAGUUUGCAGGUCCGGACCUGAGAUUUUCGGACUUGAGUCGAACUCUCAAAAUUGGGCCCUCAAAUCAGAGUUUGCAUCUUUAUUUAUUUACUUAUUUUUUAAAAACUAAUAAAGGUUUUCGGGGACUAAAACUUUAAACUUAACAUUUAACUAUAAAACAACACUAUUUUCCAUUUUCUUUUACAGCAUGUUACAUCAUAUGUAUGUGGUUAUAACAAUCUUGUAUGGGUCCAUGACCUUUCCUUUACUUUAAGUGUAAAAAAUAGAACUCUGACAACAAUUGGUUGGUUUAUCAAAGUAAUAUGUUGUUCUUUCCUGUGUAUUACUGACUUUACUGACUGUUGUUGCAUUUAAAGAGCUGUAACUUUUUUUCUGGGCUCCUUCGAUGUCCGGGACCUGAGUCGACUGGCUCCUUGGACUCGCAUCAAAUCCGGGCCUGCUAAUUUGAAGACUCAAUUUAUAAAGUUGAUGUAUCACAUCAUUCAUAAGUAUUAACACAUUAUAGAAUUGUUCUUAUUAAACUAAGUUAUUAAAAAAAAAAAAACUAAAGUAAUAUAAAGACAAAUAGUACUUAUUGCAGAAAAUUAAAAGAAACCAAACGAGGAUAUAAGCAUCUCAGCAGCAAACUAUAGCAAAGCAGACAUCACGAGUUGAAGACUUAUGAAACAUGUUGAUGAUGAUGGCAAUCGAACCAACAUGUCAUAAUGCAAAGAAGACCAAGUUAGGGAUGAAACUACUCAUGAAACUCAUACCAGGACCAAGGAAGAGAACUUCAGGAGCCUAAAUUAGCUUACCGUCCCGUCAAACACGAGAGCACUAGAACGCCAUGCCAUAAUUACAAGCCAACUAAUGAGUGGAAACUUACCGUAAUCACCCAGUUAAUUUAUCAUAUUUAUGUAAUGCUACUGUUUGAUUAGUUUACUACUUCACUAUAUCUAAAUGAAGGGAGAAACAACUGUAUCGUAUUGGCAUUUCAGCUUGUUAUUCUAUACUUCAUAUGUUGUUUUGCAUAAGAUCGAAUGACUAAAAAGUAAAAACUAUUUUUCGGAUACAUUCUGCUACAGGCUUGCUCUCACAGUAGAAAUUUAUCCAUGAAUUGGGUGUUCUUAAAUUUUCGACCUCAAUUGGAUACUCUAUUUCAGGAAGGAAGCGUCAGGGUCCUCCAAUUCUCAAAGCACGCCUAUGCGUGAGUUCAAGUGUUCAACUUUAGGGUCUUCAAUUCGUCCACAUACGUACAUAGGCCGUGAGAUUUACUCUUAGGAUUAUUGUCAGACCAAGACUUUGUCCACUUAAUUAACUAGAGUAAAAAACACUUGGAAUCGACCACAAAUCUCAAGGAGGGCUUCGCCAAUUCCAACUUAUAAAAUGCCACCAUAACCUUCAAGAGUUGUUCACUUAAUUAACCUCACUACCUCAGUGUACGUCUCUAAAAAGUUUAUCCAAAAUGAAAACUAGUUGGUUACAUUUCUUCCUUCCCUUGAUCACUACUCUCUGGGUCAGUAGUAUCAUCAUCCCAGCAGCUCACAGCCAGUGUAUUGAAGACCAGCAACUGUCAUUGCUCCACUUCAAGAAAAGCCUCGUGUUCAAUCAUUCCAUCUCCACCAAGCUUGUUUCUUGGAAUGCAAGUAAUGAUUGCUGUUCUUGGGUUGGCGUCACUUGCAGCCGUAAUGGGCGUGUUCUGGGUCUCGACAUCAGCAGCGAACACAUCUCAGCUGGAAUUAGCAAUUCCAGCAGUCUUUUCCAUCUUCAUUAUCUUCAAAGGCUCAAUCUGGCUGACAACCGACUUGGCAGCGACUCUCAGUCGAUUCCAUCCGCCAUCGGGAAGCUCUUGAACUUGAGGUACCUGAAUUUAGCUGAUAGUGGUUAUCAAGGGCAAAUUCCCAUCGAGAUAUCUCACUUGAGGAGGUUGGUAGUUCUUGAUUUAUCUAGCAAUCAAGCUUACUCUUUAAAACCUGGAAUUCCAAAUUUACACAUGUUGAUUCACAACCUCACACAGCUUAGAGAGUUGUAUCUUGAUGGUGUCCAUAUAUCAGAACAGGGGAGUGACUGGUGCCGAGCCGUAUCAUCUUCCCUUCUCAACCUCAGUGUCUUGAGCAUGUCCUCUUGUGAUCUUUCAGGCCCUUUUCACGAGUCCCUUGCUAACCUUCGGUCUUUGUCCGUGAUUAUUUUGGAUGAAAACAAUAUCUCUGCUCUAGUUCCAGGAUUCUUUGCCAACUUCUCAAACUUGACUAUCUUGAGUCUCUUAUAUUGCGGGUAGCAAGGAACAUUUCCCAAAGAGAUCUUUCAGUUACCUUCUCUACAAAUUGUUGAUCUUUCAAGUAAUUUCGAACUUGUUGGUUCCCUGCCAGAAUUUUCAAGCAAAGGAUCUCUUCAGUACCUAAAACUAAGGGACACAAAAUUUUCAGGGUUAUUACCAAAUUCUCUUGGUAGCCUCAAAAUGUUGUCCACCAUAGAUAUUCGAGAAUGCCAUUUCAUGGGACCGAUCCCCAAGUCAAUGACAAACCUUACACGAUUGGUUUCUUUGUGGAUGGCUCACAACAACUUGAAAGGUCCAGUUCCGUCAUUCAAUGGGGCUAAGAAUUUGGUGGACAUAGACCUUUCCAACAAUGGUCUAACAGGUACUGUUACUUCCACCAACUGGAGAAACCUUACCAAGCUAUCAUCUCUUUGUCUGAGAUUCAAUAAGCUCGAUGGGAAUAUCCCAUCAUCUCUGUUUUCUUCUACCUGGUUGCAGUUUUUAGAUCUAUCCCACAAUCAAUUCUCUGGUGAAUUCCCUGAAAUUUCUAACGUGUCUUCUUACUUGCUGAAUGGUCUUUAUCUUCGAGUUGAUUUGAGUCACAACUAUCUAAAAGGGCUGAUACCUACGUCAAUCUCUAGUUUGCAAACUCUUGACAGUCUUGAGCUGUGUUUGAGCAGCAACAAUCUUGAAGGGCAGAUACCUAUGUCUAUCUUUAGCUUGAAAGGUCUUGUCACUCUAGAUCUUUCUUCAAAUAAUUUAAGUGGCUCGUUUCCUCUUAAUCUUCUACACCGGUUGAGAUAUCUUUCGGUAUUUGAUAUUUCGCACAAUGACUUGAUUCUUAGCCAUGAUUAUACCAAUUUCUCAGAUCCCUCAUUUUCCGAACUAUAUCAAGUGAAUUUAGUGUCAUUAAAGUUGAGAGCCAUUCCUAAUUUCUUGAAAAAUCAAUCUAACAUGGUGAAGUUGGACCUUUCAGAUAACAAGAUAAGUGGCAAGAUACCAAACUGGAUUUGGAGUUUGAGUAUUCUUGUCUACCUAAAUCUUUCUUGCAACUCCCUAGAUUCUCUAGAACUUCCAUCAAUUAAUCUUACUCAUGUAAAUUACCUGGACCUUCAUUCCAACCAGUUUCAUGGGCAAAUCCCAACCUUGCAACUACUUCCCAAUGUCAUUCAACUAGAUUUGUCGAGGAAUUAUUUCAGCUCUAUCAUUCCGAGUACCAUUAGACAUGUGCUUCGUUACACUAUAUUCCUCUCGCUUUCGAGCAAUAACAUCAAUGGGACCAUUCCAGAAUCAUUAUGCAAUUUUAAAUUUCUUCAGGUGCUUGAUAUAUCCAAUAAUUUUUUGAGUGGCAUGAUUCCACAGUGCUUAACUAACAUGAGCGGGCUUGCAGCACUCAAUUUAAGGAGGAAUAAUCUUACAAGUGUUGGUGAGUUCUCUCAUAAUUGCAGUCUGAAAACACUAGACAUUAGUGGAAAUCAGAUUCAAGGCCGGUUUCUAAAAUCUCUUGUCAACUGCAACCAGUUGGAGGUUUUAAACCUUGGAAGCAAUCUGAUUGCAGAACCAUUUCCAUGCUUUUUGAGGAACACAUACACAUUGCGUGUCAUUGUCUUGCGAUCCAAUAAAUUUUAUGGGCGCAUUGGAUGUCACAAGACUAAUGACACUUAUUGGCCUGUGCUUCAGAUCAUAGACCUGGCUCAAAACAAUUUUAGUGGUGAAAUACCUGGAACAGCUUUGACAACAUGGCAAGCGAUGAGGACUAGCAAAGACAAUGCCCCAGCGAAGAUCAGAAACCUUCGAUAUGGGAGAGUUGGUUAUCAAGUAGACACAAUCGUGGUUACCAACAAAGGUCUAGAAAUGGAGCUGUUGAUUGUUUUAACUAUCUUCACCUCCAUUGACUUCUCAUCAAACAAGUUCAUUGGAUCGAUACCCAAGGAAAUUGGAGAACUCAAAUUAUUGUAUUCCCUCAACUUGUCGAACAAUGCCUUCACAGGUUCAGUUCCAUCAUCAUUAAGCAACUUGAGUCAGCUAGAGGCCUUGGACCUCUCGAAAAACAAACUGAGAGGUCAAAUCCCACCGGAGCUUACAAAACUCACUUUUUUGGCAUUCUUGAAUCUUUCAUAUAACGAAUUGGUCGGGAGGAUACCCAGCGGGGCUCAAUUUUCAACAUUUGAUGCAACUUCUUUUGAAGGAAAUAAAGGAUUAUGGGGGCCUCCUCUAACAGCAGAUAAAAGAACAGUAUUCUCGCCGAAGCCUGCUGAAGGAAACCAUUCAAAUCCUGGACAUGAGAUUGAUUGGGAUAUUAUCUGUCCUGAAAUUGGGUUUACAUGUGGGUUUGGGAUUGCCAUCGGGUCACUUUUGUUUUGCAAGAGAUGGAGGAAAUGGUAUUACAGAGCUAUGUAUAACAUGCUUCUCAAGAUAUUCCCUCAGCUGGAACAAAUAUUGGGUCAUCACAGGAGACAUGUUUACGUACAUCAAAGAUACUGGAGACGUUGAAAAUGGUUGUGAAGAAUGUGAAGAUUAAAGCAGCUGCUUGUUGUUGUAUUGGUUUGAUAAUAAGGAGUAGGAUUAGAUCCAUGCUUUGUUUAUGUGUAUUUUCUUGUAAGUAGUAUCUCAGUUUUUCAUUUUAUAAUGCAUGAAAAAUAAAUGUGAAAAAAAUGUGUUCGAACUGUAAUGUAUGUAAUUUGAUUUCCUAUGUGUUUAUUGAAGUUGUGCUGAAUUACAGUGAACUCCAGACUUGCUUGUUGGUGGUUUUUAUAAGCUCAUCUUUGCUAACUUUGCAGGCCGACUGAGCAACUUAUACUUGGGACAACUUCCUGGCAUGUUGAAACAGAAAUAAUCAUUUUGUAUAAUCAUUUUGCCUAUGUUGAUUGGAAUUUCGGAAUAUUUCGUUUGUGCGAGUUUAACCUUCUACACGAUUAACUGAGGAACUCGAGCAAAGAGCAAAAUCCAAAGGUUGUAAAUUGCAAUUUGUUCCAUGGCUGAAUUCCAACAAGUUAUCCCUCCGCACUAAUCAAAAGGAUUGAGAGAAAGGAGUAAAAGCUUAGCUAGAGAUUGAUAUAAUUUGCUGAAUUUCUCAUGCUUCUUUUGGGAACAUGAAAUCAGCGAUAAUUUGUUGAACUUCUUAUGCAUGUAUUUAUGCACUGGUGGUUUGUAUUGUUCUGGGGUGGCAUUUUUAUGAGCUAAGAGGAAGCAAGCCUUGGUCACCACAACAUUUUCAGACAAACAUGAGAAUUUGUAUUACCAUACUAAUAUUUGAUUUAUUUUCUUGUUUCUCAAGUCUACACAAAAAAGAAACAAAACUAUUCCUGGUUUUUACCACUUCUGAAAAAUAACUAAAGAAUCCAUCCCCCUCUCAAUACGAAACAAGCAAACCGUCGGUUUCCUUCAAUCUAUUGCCUAAAAUUGCUUCUCUCUAUAAAUGACCUUGACAUACAUGAGGCUAGUAUGACAAUCAGUCAUUGCCUAAGAUUUGGGGCAUGAGCAUUUCAUUCUCAAACAGGUAGAAAUGAAAUAAGCUUCUUUGGUAGAAGAGUCUCUCCAGACCACUUCAACAACAUUUUUACCCAAAUCAAGUAUGCAUGAAUAUUGAUGAGUCAUGAGUAUUUCUCAUAAUUACAAUACGGAGCAAUUUACAAUACCUUCAUGGCAUCAAGACUUGGUCAAAGUUCAAGCGUCAAUCUAACACCAUCUCGAAAUGAAACAGGAGAAAUUCCAAGCGUCUGAACUAGCUUAGUUAUGUCCAUGGAUAUGUCAGCGGGAGACAUAACUCCACGAUCAACCUGAAGAUGAGCAUGACGGUGAAAUAUUGUCAGGUACAGCAAUACUGUAUAGAUAAAUACAUUAAAUUGGCUAGUAAGGCAACAUAAAGAACAAGAUUUUGUAAUGGACAGAAGCCAAACUCUUGAUUAUACAUUAAGUUACAUGUUUGGAACAUGCAAUAAUACUGAGCCAUGACUAUAGUAAUCCUAAGGAGCUUAAAAAAAUGAUAAGGUUUUCGUAGGCAAGCAUACACAACAGAUCCUUAUCCUAUUGAUUAAUUAGUAGAAAGAGGAAAAAAAACAUAUGGCUGGACAUUGUAGUUGCAUAUUUUUGAUCAUAUAGGACAUGUCCAGACAAGGGCAAAGUGAAAAGCAAGUCAGAAUGCAACUUAAAACUGAUGGGGUCAUCUAUUAGUAUUUUUAAUAUAAAUAUGUUGAAAUUGAAUACCAAGUAUCUCAAAACUAAAAGAACACUAUAAAGGUAGCAAGUAUACAUACCGAUGAUGCAGAUACAGAUUUAAUUAAUGAGAGGUUAUAUCCCCUUAUAUCAGCAACCGUCUCAGCCAUUUGAACACGAGAUACCCUGUCUGGUCCACCAACAUUCAGUAGUAAUUUUCUUUGCUUAGCCUCUGCAAACAUUUCCAAGAUUAUCAGAACUAUGAAGACAUAAGUGAAAAGUACUUCUCGAAGUAGAAACUAUAUAACCAAAAAGAGCCAUAUGGAAGGGUAAGAGUAUAGAAACUUCAUACCUGAUAUCCAUGUCUUAGACAAAGCAAGUAUGAUUCCUACAACAUCCUUUACAUACACAGGGCAUCGAAACUCAUCAUGAAAGAAUUCUGUUGUAUUUCCUUUGGAGAGGACACCAUCAACCCACUACAUCAAUUGCAGGCAUAUCACUAACUUGAAGAAAGUAAAGUAACCUAGAUCCAGUUUCAAUAUUUCAUAUGGUCUACAAGCUAAUAUGCCAACAAAGCGGCAGUUAAAACUUUAAGGUAUGUUUCUCUUUUAGUCUUUUACAAACCUGAAUUGGAAGAGAUUUUGAAACCGGUGAGAUUGUUUGUGGCCCAAAGAUGAUACUGCUUCUCAAAAUUGCAUAGUUUGAGCAUUUCUCAGUAAUGAACUGCUCAGCUGCCACUUUUGAUUUCCCAUAAACAUUUACUGGAACAACUUCAUCAUCUUCUUUGUAAAAGGACUUCACCCCUUCAUAAACUGAUGAGAAUUCACAUCAGUCCCCAUCUACAAUAGCUACUUAGCAAUUUGUUUACAACAGUUUUGUACGAUCAAUUUACUUAACCAACAAUUUGUAUCGUACUUUCGUUAUAUAUUUACCUCAACUGCAGACCAACAGGGGUCUUUAAGAGUAAAAAGUAUGUAAUGUAACUAUAAGUCUAUCUCUAUUGUAAGUUUAUUUGAUAGUUGUAGCUAAGUAAUAAUUAUGUGCUAUUGUGGUUCUUACCAGUUUCUCUUGUUUGCUUUUAUUGAUCCAUCUUUACCAAGAAAAAUUUAACUAGGUAUAUGAACAAAUUACUGUAUACAAAAGCAAUUGAGAGUCACUUACCUUGAUCAGUCGACAAAUGGAUCAGAAGAUAGUUACUCUCUUCUAAGCUCGAUAACCAAUUUACAAGAGAAGAUGGCACAUUAACUGACAUAGCUGCAGCAGGAUCCAUUUCACAGGCACGAGGAACGGAAAGUGCAGCACAGUUUACUACCACAUCAGGCUGGGAAAUCAAAUCAAUACACAUGUCAGCGCUUAAAGUUGUUUACUUGAACAAUAAUACCAAAUCACAAACCAGAAGACUUUUAGCACUUGAGAUAUCGUAGGUUUCCCAAAACAACUAACGGCAUUUGUACACAUCUCAACUCAAAAUUGAGCAAUGAUCCAUUUAAAAAGAACACAAACCCAUUCAAGCUAGAUCUUGGCAGUUAAGCUAAAUACAUCAGGUUGGCAAUUCAACUGAAUACACUUCUUAGCAUUUAAAAGUUGUUUACUUGAUUGUUUUAACAUGUUCAAAGACUGCAAAUUCCCAUAAGCAACUAAUGGCUUAUGAUGAAUAAGACCCAUAUAUUACAGAGCCAUGCUAAUGCACAGGUUUCAACUCCAGAUUAUCAACAGCAACAACAACAACAACAACCGGACUAAUGGGGUGAGAACUGAGAUCACUAAUUACAAUCAUCAUAUACAUUAAAAAAAUGGUUAAUGGGGUGAGAACUGACCGGACCAAACUGAUGAGAAAUGGCUUCAAAUCCAAUGCCAGUCUUCAAAUCCACAGAGAAAGGCAGCACAGUAGGAAACGCAUUGAGCAAAGCUUGGGGAGGAGGACUUGAGUGGUGGGUAAAUGCCAGAUCACAAAGAGUGGUUUCUUGAAUCUCUGAAAAGCCUUGCAAUACAUGCUGUCCCAAGUAGCCUGUGCCUCCAACUAUCAAAACUCUCUUCCUACUCAUCCUGUUUGCUCUCUCUGUGUGGAAAUGAGGGGAGAUUUGGGUGUGAAUCUGACUUGGGUUUUGUUUGGUGUUGUAGGAAGAGGUUCAGAUCGAGUGGGUUUAGGGGUUAUGAGGAAAUUUCUGUUGUCAGUGUCACUUGUUUGAGAGACCACAUUGGUUUCCGGUGUGUUUCACGCAUUUGGUUUUAGAGCGAAAGAAAACCAAGUUCAGGAUGUUGAUUCGUUUCACCAAAAGAAAUUUUACAGUUAAUCAUUUACUUUUACCCGCUACAAAAAAAAUUACUUUUUACUGGCCUGUAGUGCCCCAGGCUAACACAAAUUCCUCUUACUCUAAUUUGAUCACAUGUAUAUUGUCUGAAUGUGUUUCGAUAUGCUUGUAACCAUGUUCUUUUAAGUUUCUCCAACGUAUUUCUUUGCCUGGAGGCAUGGUGUCUCAUAUCGUCGAUACAUUUUUGAUAUAGCCCGACAUCCUACAAAACUUAAUUAAAUAUUUAAAUAUUUAAUUGCAUCCCGUUUUAUUGUUUUUUCGUAGUAUUUUUGGUAUCUCCUAUUUCGAUGUAUUUUGGGGUCUUGUGUCUCUUUUGUUUAUUAGCCUCGUAACCAAUAAGAAGUUUUCUUCUUAUUAAUAGAAACAUGUCAUCUAGUUUCAACAGAAAAAUUUUCUCAUCAUAUCAAAGAUGAAAUUCUUACAAUUGCAGCUGCUCUUGUUUUGGUUGGUCACACUCUUUCCUCACCGCCGAAGUGUUGAUUUGAGGAUGUUUCUCCUUAGGCUCCAAUAUUUCUAGAUUCUUCUUAUGUUGGAGGCCUAAGAGUCUUCUCCUUGCGAUUUAUUUUUCUUCUAACAAAAAAAAUCAAGAUUUGAAUUAUAUAAAAUUCCAAAAAUUCAUCUGUGCGCUAAAAUAAUACUUAAGCUCCGUCGUUUAGUUACAGAAAUACUCAAUGGAAGGGCAGAGAGUUCCCUAGCCCUGUUUGCCAGAGACGAGGCCAUAUAUGCCAAGUAAUUCCUGACCUGAAUUGGAUUAGGAACCCCUUCUUAAGUUGUAUUCAAUUCUAUAAUAAACCCAAAUCCCUCUAUUUCUUGGAUACUACUUCCUCAAUUCUCCAUCAUCAUCUCUGAAAAAACCCUUUUCUUAGUUUCUCUUGUAAAACCCAAACUCUCAACCUCUGCAACUUUUUGAUGGCUACUCUCGCGAUCAGUUCUUCAAGCCUUUCAUAUCUCCAAGAACAAGAAGAAGAAAAAAAGAUGGGUUCUUGUUCUUCGAGUAAAGAAAUAGUCUGUUUUCAUGAGGACUGGUCUGCACUUCAUAUGUUGGUCGAGGUUUCUUGCCAACUUAGCGAACAAGAGAAGAAGGGUAUGUGUCUCUCAUCCUUGCUGCGUCAUCAACAUGUCUGCCCUAAGAAACCAAGGUCACCUCCUCGCCCUAUCCGUAAUGUUAUUGCUUCUGGUUCUUCUUAUCAAAACAACAGAAGUGAUGAGAGUAAGGGUUUGAAAAGAAAAAGAAAGCAAAGUGUUGAAUGUCUUGAUGAUCAUGUUGAAGACUCGGCGAAAAAGAAGAAGAAGAGAAGAUAUAUGACGAGGAUGGAUCACAAGGGUGUGUAUCAACCUCCUCCGGAUUUGCCUGAAGAAUACAAGAAAAUGGUGAAUGGGGCAAAGGCAGAGUUGGUGAUACAGAAGCAAUUGUUUACUAGCGAUGUGAAGCGCAACCUGAACCGGUUGUCAUUGCCUCCAAAGCAGAUUCUGUGCGAGUUUCUGAGACGGGAUGAGAUUGAAGGCUUAAAGGAGAAUGAUACUUUCAUGAAGGUUCCAUUUAUAGACCCGGAGUUGGAGAUGGAGGAGAUUUCGGUGAGUUUUUGGAAGCUGUCGAGCUCGGAUGAGAAGUCCCUUGUGUUGAAUUCUAACUGGAAUUAUAUUGUUGAGAAGAAUAAGCUGGUUAAGGGUGAUCUGAUCCAAGUAUGGUCGUUUCGGGAUAGCAAUGAUCGGCUUCAGUUGGCGCUUGUUGUGCUGAAGAGAGCCGAGGAGAGCGAAAAUGGUGUUGUGGAGAGAGCCGAGGAGUGCGCAAAUGGUGAGGAAGGGAGAAGCACUGCGAGAAGUAGCAGUGUGAGCAGUGUCAGUGAGGAUAGUGCAGUUGCAGGCCACAAAGGAAGUACAUGUCUGAAAAUCAGAUUUAAAUGUAAUGCUAGCAAGAGUGAGAGUACUAGUACAUCUGACUUAUUGAGUCAAUGAGGAAAGAAUAAUGAUACCAAUUUUUGUAAUCUGUGAAUAGUCUCUGCUCCUGGUGGGUUAAGCCACAAUGCCUUUGGUAAAUGUAAAUGAGAAAACAAUCAUUUGGUAUUGUUGGAUUUGGUAAAUGCAGCUUGCUUUUGAGUUUGUGGUGGUUUUAUGGUUUUGCUUCAGUAGACAUGUUUGUUCACUCAGCCUGUUAUUACAUUUUCAGUUGGUAGUUGAUUGACUUUCUUUGAAAAUGAUGUCCACUUAUCUAGUUGUUUGCUUUUGCGCUUCAAUGACUUUCUUCGUUAUUGCUUCUUAAUAUCUUUCUUUUUUUAACCCAAACAUGAAGAUUUACAGUACAACUGGGGUUAUAGAUAUUAACAUUUUAUUGACCUAUUUCAUUGAAUCAUCUCUCACAGAUUCCACCUCAAGUCUAGAAGUUUCAAAUUGCAAAAGCAAAUUGUGAUGUCAUAGUAACAAGGCCAUAUGCCAUUGACAAUUCCAAAUCUUGAGGUUUUCCUUUUCUCCAUUUCUCAAUUUCUCAUAGUUGUGUUCUUCAGUAGUAUCACACUCAAUGGCAAACUUCAUAAAAAAAUUGACAUUUCUACCUCUACUAAAACAAAAGCAAACCAUGUGCAGUACAAGAGCUUUUUAACAUUUCAACAUCCUAAGUGAAACUAAGGUAUAUUAGAAUCCUACUCUAUAAAUAGUUACAGACAAGUGCAGAGUUGUUUUUUUUGGCUCUUUCCACCAUUUGUCAAAGUAAUCCACUGCCACAUAUAUCCAACUUCACAUUCAACCUCAAUUUAUCUGCUCUAACUCAGGUUGAGUUUGAGACUUCUCUAUUAAGAAUUCGAUUUUCUGUUAAGAAUAUAAGAAAGUGUACCAGAGUGAGUAUCUAGGAUUAGGGAAGCUGAACAAGAAGAAGCAGAAGCAGAAAAUGAAAUCUACCUUUACAGAUCUAUUGACUUCUUCAAUUCUAUUAAGCAACAAUUCACUAGGUAGUAUGCUUCUGCGUUCUAUUGAAGCAUAGCGUGGUGAAGCUGACAUCUGCAUGACAUAGGAGACCAGAAGUUCAAGUAAAAACCAAUAUGUACCUUACAAAGCUGGCCAGAGAUGGAAUGAAACAAGUUUGCUAAAGAAUGAAAUCUGUUAUACCUUUACACUUUUAGCUGGUGAUCUAAGAAUUGGUGGUUCAGUCAAGGAUGCAGUACGAGCCAUGUUUUCCCCCUCUGCAGUGACAGCACUAGGCUUCCAACUUACACCGCUGUCUUGUAUAACUUUUGAAGCUUCUGUUAUGAUGACCUGCUCAUCAAUCAAUAAAUGAACACCCAAUAACCAUCUAACAUUAGAAGUUUUCUUUAGUGAGCAUGUAGACUAAGUAACUAUAACCAUAAAAAUGCAGAGUAUCAGUUUUCUGAUUCAAAAGCAAAUGAAAAACUAUGAGAUAGUUUUAUUCACCUUCCUCAAAUCACUAGGGUUAGAAACCCCUUGAACCUGUAGUUCAUCAACAGCUGCAGCUUUGCCACGUGCUAUACUUUCAAUUCGAAAGGUAUGGAUCCCAUAUCUUGACUGCAAGCAACCUAUACUUGACACAACAUAAAUGAGAUAACUGUUUUUGAAAGGAUAAAAUUAUGGAAACCUAAAUAUAACAAGUCUUUCAAAAGAAACAGUUGUUCUGCAUGAUGAAAUUUUGCAUUGGGAAAUGAAUUUUCAGAUCAAUAUAACCAACACUCUUAUGGGAUAUUGGAAAUGGAUUACAGAUUUCCAUCCAUUAUAGUUCAAGUUAGCAAAAUUUAUGGUGCAUUUGAGAAACCUUGCUGCAAUAUUCUACAGGGCCCUUUCUGCAUGGCUGUAUAACUUCAGUAGGAUGCUCUUUAUUUUUUUUCUUGAAAUAUAUAUCCUUAUAUCAUAAGAGCAAUAAACAAUUAUAAGUAAUGUGUGUAUUUGAACUUUGGCUUUGCAUGCAAAAGCUUUACAAUGACUUGAUUCUAGACCAAUUACUCCCUCAUUUAACUGCUUGAAGCUGCAGAAUUGAAAGCAUAAUAUAGUUCAUGUGGUUCAGCCAUAUUGAAUUGGAGAAAAUAAUAGCAUAAAUUCGAUAUAUGAAGGAAGACAAGGACUGAUAAUGUAGUUGUUAGAGAUAUUACAUAUAGACUGUAGAGAUAUUAGUAUUACUCAUAUUAGUCAAUCAGAUAAGUCCGGAGUACCUUGUUCAAUAAUGAUGUCAAUUACCCGGGAAAGGGGCACAUGCCUCUCAAUUGUGGUGAUGCCCAAGAAGGGUACAUAAGAAGGUCUUGAAACCUUUGCAGAGAGAGGAAAAAGAUAAAUAAGAAGAAGAAUCACAUUUAUGGAAGAUGAAGAAAAAAGAAGAAGUAAAAGAUAGUGUAUGUACCUUGUAGACUAUUUCACUAGGUGUAACAUAUAGCUUUCGAGAGGAGAUGUCCUUCUGGAGAAUAUAUCUCUUAAAAGGUAGAUAUAACAGCAUAAUGAUGCCAACUCCCCAAGCUAAAACCAGCAUCAGUGAUAUUGAAAGCCAAAUAACAGUGUCAUACUUAACGAUAUUGUCGGCAAGCUCUUCAAAGGAGGCUGAGAACAGUAUCGGCUCAGAACUGUCUGCAGUGUCAUCAUCAGAUUCAGCAUAAGGAAGUAGCUGAUCCCUUGAUGAACGAGAUUCAGAAAGACCAUCUGUAUGACCCAGAAACAUCUCUUCAAGCUCAAAACUAGUGAUAGGAAAUAUAAAGAACAUUAUUAGAUUCAAGACUCAAAGAUAUUAACUUUUUCAUUUCGAUGCAUUGUUUCUUUACACCCAUUGCAUUGGCCCAAAAUAUUUCAUGUGAAUCUGAUUUGAGACAUAAUGAUGAAUUGAAACGCAAAUGAUAUGCAGUGCAAUAGUGGCACACUUAAAAUUUAGCAUACACACCCUCAUAACAUAUAACCCCUCAAAGCACAAAGAGUAUCAGAACAGUUAUCCACCCUGGGGCAUCCCCAGACAGUGACGGCCGGCCUCUGCAUCAUUUCAAUAACUUAACUAAUAAUCCUUCCUAGUUGACUUGCAUAGUUUAGUAUCUUCUUUUCAUCCAAAAUAAAUAGCAUUUCGUGCAAACUAUGCUCUUUUCUUGUUCCAAAUGCCAAGUUCCCAAAAACAAUACAGCGCUAUUAAUAUCUACAAGCAUUUCAAAGCGCCAAAAUUUCAUCCAUAUCUGGGGUUUUAUAUGUUUUGGGAGAUGAAUACACAAGCAGUACAGUAGAAAGUUUCAACACCAAAACUUGCGCUUUUCACCCAAUAUCGAACAAAAGUGUACACAACAUAUGUCUAUCCAAACCAUAUCAGACUUAAUGCACUUAGAUUUCACCCCUGAAAUAAAUUCUACUAACAAGUCUUAAAACUUUCCCCUAAUUCAAGAAGUAGAGAUGGUCACAAGUAGAACAGCUGAAAGAGCAAAUGCAUUGUGAGCAGCUCAUUAUAAAAUUUCAAUUCCAGAAACAACUUUCCUACAGAAAGUUAUAACUCAACUAUCGUAUGCUUAUCAAACAUUCUCUCAUUUCUUCAGCAUUAGAAAAACUAAGCAAUCUCUAGCUAGUAAAAUUUGAAAAAACCAAAAUCCCAGAUCAAACAUGCACUUCGUCAUAUAAAGAUUCCAACUUUAACUACAAAGUAAUCAGCUUUAAUUGAAACUAUGAACUUAUAUACCCAUCAAGCUUAAUUAUUCAAUACCAAUUUGCAAACAAGGAUUUGAAUAUAAAAAACAUGACCCAGAUGAGCAUUAAGCGAAUCAAAGAAGAACCCAGAUGGAAAUCAUAGAGUGAGAAAUGAAAGAUGAAAUGGGAACUGAAAUGGAAAAAGGGGCGAGUCAUUAAUACCUGGAAAUCUUUAUUCGAUUUUGAGAGCCCUGGUACGAAAAUCUGGGGAUUUAUUAGCGAAUGUUGUGCUGGAUUCUGUGUGGGGUGUUUUUGGUAAUUUGAUGCGGAGUUUGAGUUUUCAGUGAAAUUGGAUCAAAACCAACUAGUCCUUGCGCUCUGUUUGUGUCGUGCAUUUGGAGCUCAGAAAUGUGUUGAUGGGAACAACCGAACAAGACCUUUUAUUUUUUAUUCUUGUUUUGAUUUUUUAUUUUUAUUUUUAUUUUUUUAUCCAAUGCAGGAUAACAAGGCUUGAUGAAUUCAGCUUGUUGAAUAAACAAUGUCGGAUUUCAGUCGGUAAGUCAUGGUUUGUUGGUUAGCUAGUUGAACUGAUGGGACAUAGGUUUAAAUAUCACAUUUAUAGUCGGCUAGGUGAUUUUAAUGAAGAUUUUUUUUUUUUCAGAAAAGAAAAAGUAAUGUGGGAUUUCAACUAAAACUAUCACAUGUAUUCACUACUAAGGCUAAGUUAGUUUUAUCAAGCAUGCACAAUUCAUUUAAAAGUUUAAAACACUUUACAGAGUUAGUAUGUCUCAUGUCUCUCUUAAUAUUGAUAUGACCGUUUGCUCGAUUAAGAUCUCCAUAAUUUAGAAGCAUUUUCCAACUUUGAUAGAUAUAUUUAGGUAUGUUGAUCUGGUAUGACUAUUUAUAGCUCCGAAUUCUAUUCUUAAUUAGUUUUAUUAAUUAUUUCCAUUUUAUGAAUUUCAUCUCCAAAAAAAAAAAAAAAAAAACACUAUGCUCCCUAGUCCCUAUCACAUUUCAGCAAAACAAACACGGCCUCGCUAUUCAAAUAUAAUAAUGGCACCAAACGUUCUACGAUGACAGAAAAGAUUCGAAGUGAAACUGUAACAGUAAAAAACAACCCACACGACGUCGCAUCACCCCAAAUCCGCCCAAACAAAUUACCGUGUGGAAAUUCAAUAUACCCCGGAAUCGUUUACUCCCUCUCUGUAAUUUCCUCACGCAGCCCAAACCCCAAACCGUCGUCAACUCCUCCUAUCUCUCUCCUCGCCGGAACUUUCCCUCCGAUUCUGAGCUUCACUUCCGGCGAACCUCACGAAUUUCAAGGUACACUCUUCUCGAACUCUAUGAUUUUUCGCUUAAGUUUAUAGCCUUUACCUGUUUCUGUUGUCAGCGAUCAAUUCGAGUCUGCUUCGAUUAACUUUCUUCAAUCAAUCCGGAUUCAAAAUAGUAGCUUAUUUUAUAUCAAUAUAUUGUGAAUUUUGUUUUGUAAAUUUUUGAAGUUAGAGAAGAAUAAUAGUGGAAAUUGGUUUAGUAAUCCAAUUAGGAAUUAUGAACAGUUCAUUUUGCUUUUUGUGCUACUAUUGCUGUGUUCAUUUACUUCGAUUAUCGUGCUUGAUUACUUUGACUGCUUCAAUUUUCAAUAGGUUUCAUUGAUGCAUAGGUUGAGUGAUAGUUCAUUUUUUAUGUCUUAAUGCAGUUUAGAUUACGGUUCAUUGUGGCCGUAAGCUGUAUGCGAGUUGAGAGAGACUAAAUGUAGUGUGUGAAGACGAUUGGAUGUUGUGUUUAUAACUGAUGAUUGGAUGGAUAAAAAGAGGCAUAUUGCGAUUUUUACAACGGCAAGCCUUCCGUGGAUGACUGGAACUGCUGUGAAUCCUUUGUUCCGUGCAGCGUAUCUUGCGAGAGAUGGGGAGAGGAUUAUUAGUUUGGUUAUUCCUUGGUUGUCUUUGAAGGAUCAAAAAUUGGUGUAUCCUAACAAGAUUACAUUUGGCUCACCGGCAGAGCAAGAGAUUUAUAUCCGUCACUGGCUUCAUGAGAGGACUGGAUUCGGAUCUGAGUUCAGUUUGCUUUUUUAUCCUGGAAAGGUAAAUUUAUGUUAGAACUACCAUGGUACAUAUACGUUUUAAUCAACUUUACUACUAGACGACCAACUUUGACAUCCCUCCUGUUGCAGUUUUCCUUAGACAAAAGGAGCAUUCUUCCUGUCGGAGAUAUUUCUGAGGUAAUUCCUGAUGAAAAGGCAGAUAUUGCUAUCCUUGAGGAGCCUGAGCACCUGACGUGGUAUCAUCAUGGGAAGAGAUGGAAAAUUAAAUUUGGGCUGGUUAUAGGAAUUAUCCACACCAAUUAUUUGGAAUAUGUGAGGAGGGAGAAAAAUGGAAGAAUGCAGGCAUUUCUUUUAAAGUAUCUUAACAAUUGGGUUGUCAGUAUAUACUGUCACAAGGUAAAUCUUGAUAAAUGCUGUGUUCUUGAUAUAUAAUGUUCAGGACAGUUAUGUACGUUUUGCUUUGCUUCAGUGAUUAGUUCAACUAUCCUUUUCUUAUUUUGCUAUUGGAUUUAGUGUACUUACCUUACAUGUUGUUAGUAGAUAAGCAGUCCUCUUGAGAGAGGAUUCUUUAGAGUGGUUAUAUUGUUGUCAUUAUCUUGAUAUAUUUGUUAAUAGAUUCCACAUAUGGUUUCCUGUAGGUAAUCAGAUUAUCUGCUGCCACCCAGGAGUAUCCUCAGUCGAUCAUUUGCAAUGUUCAUGGUGUCAACCCCAAGUUUCUUGAUAUAGGCAAGAAAAAGCUAGAGCAGCAACAAAAUGGAAUCCAAGCCUUCAGCAAAGGUGCCUACUACAUUGGGAAAAUGGUGUGGAGUAAAGGCUACAAGGAGCUACUCAAGCUUCUUCAAGACCAUCAAAAGAAAUUAGCUGGACUUGAGGUUGAUUUAUAUGGAACUGGGGAGGACUCUGAUCAAGUUCAAAAAGCUGCAAAAAAAUUGGAACUGGUUGUUAGAGUCCAUCCUGGACGUGAUCAUGCCGAUCAUGAAUUUCAUGAGUAAGUGUUCUGCCUCAAUUUAGUAUUGUAUUAUCAACAACAUUCGGAUAACAAAAAUGUAGUUCCCAAGAAUUGGCUUAGCAACCAGCAAUGUUUCUUGUAGAAGCAGUCUAGUAUUGAGACUCUUGACUGUCAUUUUUUUGGCAGAGAAAUUUUUUAGGUUGGGCCGCCUUUGGGUAUUUGACUGUUUGAUUUGGAAUCAUAUUGAGAUCACCAAGUUCAUAGAUUUUGAUAGAAGACCUCACAAGUUUCUAGGUGUCCUUACAGGUUACAAGACUUGCAUCAAUGUAACUUUGUAGAGUGGACGCUUAUGCUUUCUUCUAGGUUUGAUGAUGCAACUUAACCCAAGGUGUGAUGUCUAGAAACCUAGUGGAGUGAUGCUAGUAGGUUUCCUUAAAUACCCUACUGCUAUCAUCAAUCAGUAAUAAUUUACAUCAUACAAAAAGCCCUAGAUUAAAACAGAUGCUAACCUUUGUACUUAUGUUCUCUUUAUCCUCCCUUAUGUUUGUUACCAUAAAAGUGAAUAUAGGUAGUGUAAAUCUAAUCUAUCUCAGGGAUACAAGUUAGUUCAAGGGCAGUUCUGUUACCAUUGUCAACGUUGUCUUUUUCCAAGUACACCUCAAUUAAAUUGAGAUUUCUUUAAAUAUGGUCAGCUUUGUUGGAAUUUAUACUUUUGGGUACUUUGUUGGAAUAUUUACAUAUAUUGUAUAAUUUUGUAUGUUUUUUUUUGUUUUUUUGUUUUUGUUUUCAGUUAUAAAGUGUUCCUGAAUCCAAGCACCACAGAUGUGGUUUGUACGACCACAGCAGAAGCAUUGGCAAUGGGUAAAAUUGUUGUAUGUGCCGAUCACCCCUCAAAUGAGUUCUUCAAGCAGUUCCCAAAUUGCCGAACAUAUGACAAUGGUGAAGAGUUUGUCAAGCUUACACAGCAAGCACUGGCUGAACAGCCUUCCCAGCUUACGGAGGCACAAAGGCAUGAGCUUUCAUGGGAGGCUGCCACUGAACGGUUUUUAAGGUGUGCUGACCUAGAAAAGGCAUCAACAGCUCAACUGUCAAAAGCUCCUUCAAGUAACUUUAUGUCUACGUCAUUGAACUUGGGGCGUAAGAUGGAUAGUGCGUCUGCAUAUGUGCAUCAUGUGGCAUCUGGUUUUGAAGUGACACGGAGGAUUUUUGGUGCAAUCCCAAGGAGUUUGCAACCAGAUGAAGAGCAAUGCAAGGAGCUUGGGCUGGCUGUUCCUGCUGGCAAGUGAGGCUCGGGAAAAUGAAGUUGUAUGCUUCUCUUGUGACAAUGUGAAAUAUUUGGUUACUGAAGUAUACCAAUCAAAUACUGUAAAGGAUGUUCUAUAUUUCCUGAUAAGUGGCAAUUGGAUAGGGAUGAUUAAAGAAUGAUUUAUUGCUGCCAUUGAGACGAGUCAAUAAUGUCUCAUAGAUGUAGAACACAGUUCAACGACGGACGCCAUUGGAAUUUGUAAUUGUAAGUUUGUAACUUCAAUGUAAAUACAUUAUCGAUGUGGAGUAGCACUGGAUGUAUUCAUCAUUGUGUCUUUGUUCUCUAAUAUGUUUUAUUUCCGACUCGAACCGGAAAACACUUUUUCAGGUCUCUGUUAAUGCCAUGUUCUAAACUUUUCGGAUAAAACUCAACUCAACAAUGGUGCCAACGAUAGAGGAAAAGGAAUGGCUAGACCUUGUUUUUAAGACUGGUUAUAUAACCUUGUUGAAGAGAUAAUCAACAGGUUAUCAAUAGGUUAAGUAGACUCACACCAUGUGAAGUUUCAUAGCAGUUGAUGAAAAGAUAUGUAUGUUCUUCAUGUUUUUAAUGUUUAAAAUGGACUGGUUUGUCAAUAUGUUAAUACGUAAUCCCCUAGCUCCAAAAAUGCAACUUUUUUUCAGUAAUAUACAAUGCACUAUGACAUGUACUAUUUAUAGCAGCUCAUGUCAUAGUAGCUUUUGUUAAUGACAUCUAUCAUGAAUUACACCGGUGUAAUUUUUUACAUGUAGUUGUAACUCAUAUAAAUAGUUUUUUUUAGCACAUAAUCACACCAGUGAAUUAGUAGGUAUAUAUUCGCAAAUUUAAGUGUAAGCCCUUGUAACAAGGCUAAGUUUGACUAACUAAAACUAUAUGUAUAAACGACACUUUAGUUUACUCUAAUAUCCUAAAAACCCACAAUAACAUAACGUGGAUAUGCAUUUUAAAGCUAGCAACCCUAUAUAGAUAUAUUUCUAAAGCAGAUCGAGCAACUUAUUUGGUAAAUUUUAGCUAUUUAAAUAGCAUUACCAUGCGAGAUGGAUGAGAGAAAAAAUCAGAAGAUCUUGCUCAGUGAUUAGGGACCUUAAUUUGGAGGUAUUGUUCAUAAUAUUCACAGGCUACACAUGAUGGUUGGACUACAUACGAUUUUGUAUGGAGUUAUCAUUACAUACACUGAAAUAAAAAUAAUGUAAAAGUGAUCAUGAUUAGCGUUUUCUACCGUCAUAUGCACAGUAAGAAUCACGUUUGCAUGGUUAACACGUCCUUAGGCUCUGUAUGAAUAAGCUUACAUAAAAUGUUUUUCAGAAACUCUUGAUUUUUGUCCGCAGUUAGAACCGAAUGAAUUGCAGCAAUUUCAAAACGGACAAAACCUGAAAUGUAAAUCAUAUAUUUGAAAAGAAGUCAUGUUCAAAAAUUAAAAUUGUUGUGACCCCUAACUAAUCCUUAUAAUAUGAAGAUUCGAGUUAGUAGCUCUUCUCGAGGGUACUCGUGAAUGUAUAUGGUUGAGUUUCAUAAUUAUGCAUAUUUAAAUCUUAUAUGGUUGAGAUCCACCACUAAUGAACUUAUGCCUCAUUUGUUUCAUGGAAUUAAGGGCUUGAUAAAUGAAAGUUGUUACUUUCUUAUGUUUGGAACAAUUUUUCUUUAAGAUAGGAAAAUAUGAGAGAAAUUCAAUUCUUCCAUCCUCCUCGGAUGCAAAUUUGCUCCCCACUUACCUAGUUGAACGCCACAUGUCUUAUCUUUUAAUUAUACUAACCAUAAUUAACAACAUUCAUUUAUAACAACAAAUUAUAUUAUCUCCUAAAUUUACUCUCUUAUUUUUUUUUUUUUGAGAAUCAUCUCCUAAAUUUACUCUAAUCACUUUUUUUUCUUUUUCUAAACAAUUUAACAAAGUCUAACAAAUUUUAUUAGGACUCCUCCUAGUGUCGUUGUUAUCGACUCAGGCCACUGGUUUCCUUCCUUCUCCUUGUAUCGCUUUCCAAUUUUAUUUUCUAAGCAUCUGAAUCCUACUCCUAAUUUUUUGUUAGCAUUAAUGCUAGUGACAAUUUUUUUUUUUUUGUAAGUGUUUGAAUGCUACUGCAAAUUCGGGUAUGUAUAUGAAGAACUUAUUUAUUUGAAUCGAUAAUUCAAUAGCAAUCUAUAUAUAGAGGAGAUGACUACUUGUAGUUCAAUCACUUUGUUUCAAGUGUGAGAUUGUUCUAUGAUCUGAGAGGGUAUUUUCAAAUAUGUCGACUUGGUAAUUAUUUUUUCAAAAAACACCCAGACGUUAUAUAUUUUUGUUGAUCGAUCUUAAGGAGUCCUAAAUUUGUUAGGCUUUGUUAUUUUGUUUAGAAAAAGAAAAAGAAAAAAAAUAGUGAUUUAAAGUAAAAGAUAAUAUAAUAUAUUGUUAUACAUAAAUGUUGUCAACCAUAAUUAGAGUAAUUAAAAGAUAUGACAUGUGGCAUUCAACUAGGUGGGUGGGGAUGAGAGUGAAAAAGUAUGGGUGGGGAGCAAAUUUACGUCCUCCUCCAAAGGAUUCACUUUAUCUUCUACUUUCUCAACAUUAAAUGUGCAUUAAUUACAUAGCAUAAAUACAUUUAUAUCCUUGUUGAAAAUUUUUAUUAACAAUUUUAUCUAUGAAACUUGUCAACUAUAUAUUUUGAUAUAUGAAGAGAUUUCAAAAUGAUUUAGUUUCCUUUCCUUGCACGAACCAAACAUCAAAAUGGAAACAAACUCAUGUUUUCUUUCUCAUUGAUUUCCCAACGAUCCCAAACAACAGAAAGAAAAACUAUUGGGACGUUUAUUUUACUUUCCCAUGAGAAAUACAAAGGAACGAAUUUCCUUUCCAUGUUACCGAACGAGGCCUUAGAUACAUCUAUGAGGAUGAGGAUAAUGUCACUUGCAUAGAGUAAACGAAGCAAAUAUUUUGAAAACGGCAGUAUCACAAAUCCCACACUCUUCAACUCACUGAUCAAAUUCCAACCCAGCUCUCCAUAUUUUCAUCACCAUGGCCGCCACCGCCGUUACAACCGCUCAGGCCGGCCGAGGCAAACCCAAGACCACCAAAUCUCAGGCCGCCGUCACAACUGUCCAUAUUUUCCCAUUCAAUCAAGGCCAGCCUCUACUUUCCAACGGCUAAGUCACCAACUUCCUCAAGAACGGCCGCUAUGCUCAGCUUGUCGGCGGUGGCUCCGGAUCCCCCAUCUACCUCUCCUCCGUUAUUAAAUAUAUAGCCGCUGACGUACGUCGUCGUUUUUAGACAAUAUUAUAAUUUGGGUUCACCAAGCUUUUGGGUUCUGUGGUGAUUGCUAAUGGAGGUGUUCUACCCAACAUUCAUCAUAUUCUGCUACCGAAGAAGAAUGCAAAAGGCAAGGGUGAGAUUGGAUAUGUCUCAAGGAUUCUAGAUGGGUUCAGAUUUGUUGGUAUUGGUAGGGAAGAAGAAAGAGUAAGGUAGAUAAGAUAUGUGGUUUCGUAAUUGUAUGUGGCUACAAAAUAAUUCACUAUUGUAAUGGGUUUCUUCUGGUGUAAUAAAUGGGUUUCUUUUAGCACAUGUAUUCAACUAUUUCAGACUUGGUGUUUAAUCAAAUGUGCAUUUUGGUGAAUAUGCAAAUGGAAGAAAUUGAGAAGAUGAUGAACAGAGAAUGAAGGAAGAACUAAGAAGCAACUCGACGAGAUUUUGACAUAUAAUUCAGAAUUCGUAGCUUUUUACAGCUGCGAUGACAUGACAAAAAAUAUACAUGUGUCGGUGCUUUAGUGGCUGAUCGCAAGGUGCGUUUGCAGCACCAAAGAAUUUCUCUUCCUUUUCUGAUCUUUCAAUGUGAUGGGGGGCCGGCUACUUACCUUGAAUUCUUGAAACAUAAAAAAAAAUAAAAAAAAGAGACAUUAUGUGACACCCCACGACCCAUAUAUUCAUUUAUGGUUUUAUUAUUUUCAUUUACUAUUUUUAUCUACUUCUCGAGAAUUAUCAUAUUUUCAUUUAUGAUUUAUCUGGUGGGAAGGUGUGACCGGUGUCAUUUGAUUUGAGAUUUAAGUCCCAUUAAAAUCUUACAUGAUUAAACUAAUGUUGACUGAUUAUGUAAUAUGUAUUAUCAAAAUAUGCUCUCUCUCUCUCUCUACGGGUUCUCUCCUAGGGUUCCUUAAUGACGGCAGAGUUGACCGUUCCUAGGCUGGAGCCUCAUUCUCCUCCUCGGGUUCUUCAGAGAAUGAUAGUCAUGGCGAUGCGCUCAGGCUUCUUCUGGUUUUUGGGGUCUUCAGCCUCCCUUUAUUGGUUUGUGUUGCUUUAUCUCUGGGUAGGCUAACCAUGUCGUCUCCGGUGUCGUCUUCGGAUCACGCACACAACCUCGUCCUCUCUAUGUUGAGGGGUUCAGAUCUGAUUAAGGAGGGUGUCGCUAUUAGUGCUGGUAUGUCUGGCAGCGACCCAUUGGCUUGAGAUCCGCAUCUGGGUAGCGACCAAGGCUUGGCGGCGAAAGGGUUUGGACAAGGCUGCUUGGCCGACGACGAUGGUACCACGGAUAACGCCGGCACUAGGUAUAUGGCAGAGGUACACCGGAUCUCUGUUCCAAUGUGGUUCACCGGAGGCCGAGUUCUGAAGCUAGGGUUUCUGCGUUGGGAUCAGGUGAAUUGGGCCUUGACUAUGCCUAGUUUACUAUUGGGUUCGCGCCUAUGAUCCAAAUUGGGCUGCUGAGCUCGUCGGGGAUCUCCUCCCUGAUGUAGAUCGUCCUGCUUCUCUCGGGUUUAAGUUAGUUAGUUAUUCGAAUAAAUGAGGUUUUUCUAGGACUUUGUUAGGUUUGCUUCUAUUUUGUCCUUUAGUUUUAUUGGUUCUCUGGUUCUGGUUCUGGUUCUCUUGAGAGGUGCAAUUCUUAUGGGUUGCAGCAUAGGAAUUACCUAGGAUGACUUUGUUUUCUUAGGUAGUUUCGCAUGAUUCUUUUCUAACGUUUGCCCGCAAGGGUGUGUCAUGUUUAUGUUGUAAUCCGAUUUUCAGUUAUCAAUAUAUCUAUUGCUAACGUCCAUUUAUCAAAAAAAAAAGUCCCAUUAAAAUCUUACGGUAAUUUACUUACUUAUUUGAGUUGUGAACCAUUACUAAGUUCAAAAACAGAGAUAAACAAUUUGUUUGAUUCAUAGUCAAAAUCACAAAACAUGGAAAAUUAUGGAGCAAUUAUCAUUUUAUUGCUUCAUAAUACAAUCACUUUCAUUUUGAUUUCACAUAAAAACGACAUAUGUAUAUGAAAUGGUUAGGAUUUAGGAUCCCCCAUGUGAAAUGCACAUAAAGAUUAAGACCCUUCGUUUUCACCAUCAUAAUGUUUUUUUUUUUUUAAAUUCAUUGCAUACUGAAGCAUUUCAGAUUGCUCAUAUCUUCAUAAAAUGUUAUACAAUUUUCUGUGUAACUGAAUGGCAAAACAUAAUUGUACACCAUUUAUCCAUGUAAUAGGUUCAAGUAAACUCCUCUGGACAACCAUUAUUACUGUAAUGAAAUUCGGCUCAAUGCAUAUUUCAAAUGUUUCAUUUAAACUGAAGCAGAAAAAUGAAUAUGUUCAUGAUAUAAGUCUGUUAUGCUCUAUGAGAGUUUUGUAGAAUGCUGUAUAAAAUUUAUUACUGGACUAACUAUUGCAAGUCAUUGGAAACCUUCAAAAUAAAACACUGGCAUAGAGAAAUUUAUUAAAUUGACCUGGUUACAAACCAUCAGAAUGGUGAGACAAACAUCCAAACAUAAAGCUAAGAGUUCAUUGGUGGAAGCAAUAAAGUAUUACAAUCUACUAUAUAAUAUAAAUCAACACACUCACUAAAUUAAGUGCUUUAAACAUAAUUUAUUACAAAUUAAAACACACAGAGAAUAACAAACAACCUAAGCCAAACAUAAGUUCCCCACAUAAUCGUUGUUCAUCAGCCCCUAUAGAAAUGAUCGGAGCGCUUCCUCCACUCCGCGUCAUAGGAGCAGUUUCCGCUCUUCUGACUCCUAGCCUUGUUCGGAGGAUCAUGAGUAGAUUGUCCUCCUUUCAUUAGUUCUUUUCCAUGCACCCUCCUCUCUCUGUGUGGAGGCUGAUCUCUCUGAAAUGUGCAGAAAUCGUUUUCAGUUUCAAGAAUGUAGAAUGAGUUUUGAAUCUUAGGAGGACGAGAACCAUUUGGGUUAGGAACCAAUUCUAAUUCAUCGGGCUGGAUAAUGUAGUUUGGAUUAGCCGUAUACUAGAUAGCUUACCCCCGCGCACUGCUACUCGGAGAGAGAGAGAGAGAGAGAGAGAGAGAGAGAGAGAGAGAGAGAGAGUAGNNNNNNNNNNNNNNNNNNNNGAGAGAGAGAGAGUUGGAUCAUAUUUCGUGUAUAAAUUUGUCUCCUAAUCCAUGAAAAUUCUCAGAUUCUACCUCCUCCUUCAAUCUCUACCCGAUUUCAAGCUAAAUUCUCUGAUUCUUUACGGGUUUCAACAUUCUCUUUAGAGUGUUAGUUGUUGGUGUGUUUGGAUGAAGUUUUAGAGUUCUCUCCAGGAGGUAAGAAGAUUUUCUUUUUAUGAAAUUCUUGUACAUAUUGUGUUCUUAGCCUUAAUUUAACUUAGUUUUCUUCCGUUCUAGGUUUCUAGAGUCUUGGGUUGUUUGAUUUUGAUGUUAAAUUAAAAAAAUUUGAAGGAACUAUGUUGGGCAUCAUUCUUAACACCCAAACUCAAAAAUUGUAAUGUUUAGCUUUGUUGUUUGUUGUGAUUUUGUUUUCUUUAGGUAGUUUUUAGGUUUAAACAUAAUGGGUAAUCGGAUUGUGGGAGCAUAUGAGUUUAAUUUUAACAUCUUUGAAUUGUUUCUUCAUGUUGUUUGCCCUUAUGUGUAGCCAAUUUUGUUGUUAGGUUGUUAUUGUAUGAUUUUCUUGUUCUUUGUUUUUCAAUUAGUGUGAUUGUCAGAUUGUGUGCUUGUUUUUAGUUUUUUUGUUCUGCUCGGAAGAAUAAUGUGUGGAUUAAUAUGAGUUUUUGUUGGAGAAAUUUUGUUCCCCGAUAAUGCUUGGACCUAUUGAAGUGGGUUUGCAAGGCCCUUGCCUUGUCGGUUCUACAUCUUGGUGCAUUAUUUAGUAUUCUUGGUCUUCAUGGGAGAGAAAUCUCUAACUUUACUCUUACCAUUAUUUUUCAUUUUGUGAUUGUAUAUAUUGCUGUAGUUUGUUUCUUUCACUCAUUCUUGGAUUUUUCAUUAAAAUUGCUCUCAAAGAAAAUUCUUUUGACAUUGAGGACAAUGUUAAGUUCAAGUGGAGGGAAUGUGUGUCUAAUCUAAAGUGUCUAAAAACAAAACAAAAACAAAUUUUGUUUUAGUAUUUUCUUUUCUAGCACUUUGUAUGUUUUUAUUAGGUUCAUUCCAACAUCAAUGAUGAAACUUGAGCUAAAUCUAGAUGUGGGCAAGAAAACAUGUGUUUGUCAUAUAAACUUGAUUUCUUUUCCUAAUAAAUGUUGUGAGGUUGUGCUUAAUUUCAUUUGUACCCUUGUUGUCAAUGCAUUGAGAAAGUGUUUGCAUAGUGAGAUUUGGGAGAGCUAUUUGCACCACAAAUGUGAGGGUUUUGAGCCUAAUGAAAAUGCAUGAUAUAGUUUUAGCACUUUGUUCUUCAUGUGUGCCAAUUUUGUGUGAAUUGUAUCUCUAGAACUUGAUUCAUAUCUCUCAAGACUUUUGUCAUGCAUGAGCACAUCAUGGAUUUAUUUGAGGCAUUAGGAAUCCACCAUGGUCAAAUAAGCUUUUGUCCUAAAAAGAUGAUUACCUUUAGAUUGUCAUUUUGGUUUUUUAUUAACCUUUCAUUUCUUUGCACCACAAAUGUCUUGCCCACUAGCUUAAACAUCAUCAUUACCCUUUCCAAGUUUUCUCAAUGAGCAAUGUGAGAUUGGAUAUGUCAAGAUGCUUCAAGAAACAAAGUUUGAGGUGCUUAAAAAGAAUUAAGUGUGAGGGUGUAUUUGUUGUCGUGCAAGUGUAAAUUUUAUAUAACAAAAAAACAAUUGAAAAAGAAAAAAAAAGAGCAAAAGAGCAAGAAAGAAAAUCAAAAAAGAAAGUUAUUCUAGUUCAAUAAAUACUUUUUAGUUCAAGUUUAGGAGAGUAAUCAAGAGAGUGAUUCAUAUUGAGCAUCUUAGGUUCUUAAGUUCAAAAAUCUCAACAAGAGAGUUGUUUGCUAAGUUGCUUGGAAUUUGUGAUUUCUCAUUCAUUUUAUUUCUCUAACUCAUCGCCUUAAGCCUUAUUUUAACCUAAUAAAAGUACUCUUUAGUCUAACAUGGUUUGUGCAUGACCCCAUAGAGAUGAGAUUGAAAAUCAAACAUAUGGCGGCAUUUGCAUGAAAUUGUUCGAGUGAUAGUGUAGCUAACCUAUAAACACUUAAGUGAAAAUUAAAGUGAUUAUCUAGUAAGUUUAUGGUUAGCACGGUUUUGUUAUGCAAGCUCGAUUUUGGUGCAUCAAAGUGACAAUCAUAGCAUGACAUAAACAUCAAACUAGCAUGUGAUCCAUAACUUCAUAAAACUUUUGAGACAUAACAUGAAUUUCUUGCCCUAAGCUAAUUGUGUUCUUUGAGGAUAUUGUGGGAAAAAUUAUAUAGUUAUCUUAGUUGUUUUGUCUGAGUCGGAGUUUGGAUUGGUUUGCUUGAGGACAAGCAAAGUUCAUAAAUAUAAAUUUCAUAUAUAAAUUUGUCCCCUAAUCCUUGAAAAUUACUUGUUCUAAAGUUCAUUUUGUUGUCAACUAAUCUAAUUUCAUGUUUUGUAGAAAAUAUUGACAAGAGAAGAGAAACGGCGAAAUUCCGGUAAUUUUGAUGGCACAAAUAGCAGCACACCACUAUUUUGGGUGGUGUCAUGCAUUUUCUAGCCACCAUCAUGGUAGAGGAAAGAUGGAGAAACAUAGUUUCAUCUCAACCUUUUAGUUGAAACUCAACCUUAUCACUUUUACCACACCAUCCAAACUCGUCCCUUUACCCAAAAGACCAUAAUAAAUCCCUAUAAGAAUCCUCCAUGUUUUUAUAGGUUGUAUCACCCUUUUCCUACACUUUUUUUCUCCAUCAUUUCCUAUCACCUUUUAUCUUCAUCUUUUCCUUGGUUUUAGUAAUGUUAUUGCCACUCCUCCACUCUUCCAUUUUGAAAACCAAACGUAUGGGAAGGAGAGAAAAGCUGAUUUUGGCUUUCUCUUCUCACUUUUCAUCCAUCUUCCAUAUAUAUUUUAGUCCCUCUUCACCACUAAAACACACCAUCUCCCAUUUCACACUCUACUUUUUUUCUCUCUCUAGUCUCCAUAGAGAACCACCACCAUCUCCACCACCUUCAUACCAUACCCUCCAUUACCACCACCACCAAAUCCAUCACAAUUUCCAUCUACCCAUCUCAUUCCAUAUACACCAAGCUUCAUCAUUUUGACAUCUAUCCAUUCCACAUUCCAUCAUCAAGCAAGGAGAAGGAAGAAGUCUAGCAUCAUUUGAGGAAAUCAUCACCAUCACCUCCAUCAUCCCAUGAAAAGGAUUCCAUAAGGUUAUCCACUUCAUCCUCAACUUGAGCAUUCAUCUUUCUUCCCUUACUCUUUACUUUGAUGUCCAUGAACAUUUUGAUAUUUGACUAUGAGUGAGUAGUUAAUUUGUUGUAGCUAGGGUUGAAAGCCCUAGCCAAUCUUGUAUGGCAUUUAUGUAUAUAUUGUGUUUGAUGCACUUUUCAUUAGCACCUUAAUAUGCUAGAUCAAGAGUUGAACUUUCAUGCUUGAACUUAAUCAAUUUGAGUAUGUUUGUUUGCCAUGACAUGAGAAAUAAUUAGGGCUUGAUUAACCUUAGUUGUUUGAAGCAUAAUAGCAUAUCAUAUGUGCACGUUAGGGUUGUGAGCUACAAUCACUUAGAGAUAAGCUUGGUUAGUUUGUAUAAUUUCUUCAUCUCCGAGCUUUAUGCACUGCAUUAGAAUUAAUAUUCCUAAUCAUGUUGAAAUGCAUGACUUAGAUAGUUAAAUAUUACACUCGAGAGGGGUUGCUUGAUAUCAACAAAGGGGAAAGUGAAUCCUUUGGAGGAUGGGAUUAUUGAAUUUUCCUUAUAUUUUCCUGUCUUAAAGAAAAGUUGUUCAUGUUCAUACAUUGUUCAUCGGCUAUAGAAAUUACCAUUUUACCCCCGCUUUCCUAUCGAUUUACGCCUCUAUUUACCAUCCAGUCUGAAUGACUCCAUAAUUACCAUUUUGUCCUCAGUUUUUUUUGUGACUCCAUAAUUACUAUUUUGUCCUAAGUUUUUUUGGUAAUUUACAAAACUCUCUCUCUCUCUCUNNNNNNNNNNNNNNNNNNNNUUACUUACUACUACUCUCUCUCUCUCUCUCUCUCUCUACUCUCUCUCUCUCUCUCUCUCUCUCUCUCUCUCUCUCUCUCUCUGUUAGCCAAAAAAACCAACCUCAAGUAUAAAGACCAAAUUAUAAUAUAGGGAUUCUGAGUAAGGGAUAUCGUACCCAAGAGAUUGGUAAACCUACUUUAGCUAGGAAAACCUAAAGGAUGCUAAAAAAAUUAUGCAAAUGUAUAAGUCACAAACAAAGGCUCACAAAUGUACCAAAGUUCAUGGUGAUUAUAUGCAAUUUGGGCUAGAUUUGAUUUUUGGUUUUUGGAGAUUAUUCAAUUUGGAACUUGUUCAAUGUAAACUAGGCUAAGCUAAAUCAGAUGUGAUGAAAUGGAUGAGAGUUGGUACUUAAAGAUUUCACCUCUAGCCUCCCUUGCAAACAAUGAUGCUUCUAAAGUGAAUGAUGUCAUUUUAAUUAACCAAUUUCUCUCAUUGCAUCUCUCUCGGGUAUGACAAGUUCUACUUUCCCAAUAUUAAAUUGCAUUAAUUACAUAGCAUAAAUACAUUUAUAUCAUUGUUGAAAAUUUUUAUUAACAAUUUUAUCUAUGAAACUUGUCAACUAUAUAUUUUGAUAUAUGAGGAGAUCGAUUUCAAAUGAUUUAGUUUCCUUUCCUUGCACAAACCAAACAUCAAAAUGGAAACAAACUCAUGUUUUCUCAUUGAUUUCCCAACGAUCCCAAACAACAGAAAGAAAAACUAUUGGGAAGUUUAUUUUACUUUCCCAUGAGAAAUACAAAUGAAUGAAUUUUCUUUCCAUGUUACCAAACGAGGCCUUAGAUACAUCUAUGAGGAUGAGGAUAAUGUCACUUGCAUAGAGCAAACGAAGCAAAUAUUUCGAAAACGGCGGUAACACCGAACAUAUUUACAAUAUAUUUUUUGCUAGUGGUCGGUGGACACGGCUCUGUUAUGUUUGCUGUAAUGCUUGCGUAAUGACCAUUCUGUCCUUAGUGUUUGAUAAUUGACAUGCUCUCAAGUAAACUAUCUAGUAUCACCUAAUUAGUUCUUAUUAUGUAAAUAGUGUUUACCGAUAUCACACCAAAGUAUUAUUCUAUGCCUUUUGCUUUCUCUUUGAUUUUUGUAUUCUAUAACAAGUCUUUUCAAUAGAAAUCGUUCUGUCCAUCCUGAAAAUAUUGUUUACUCUACAGAUAAAAUUUUUCGGUAUUAUCCUACAGUUAAUGCAACGUACCCUAAGAGAUUUUGCAGGUUUGUUAAGCCUAUCUGUUGGCAUGCUCCUCCUCCUCAGACACUUAAGCUCAAUUUUGACGAUCUGUCCAGAAUCACUCUGCCUCUUCAGGUUUUGUUUUUAGAGAUGUAAAUGGCCAACCUGUCUUAGCAUCUACAAAACAUAUUGGCCCUAAUGAUGUUCUCACAGCUAAAUCUUCUGCUUUACGUGCGAGUCUUUUAGCAGCAUGGAUCUAUGGUUUUUAAAAAAUUUUGGUUGAAGGAGAUUCUCAAAUCUUAAUCAAUUUCAUCAAUGAUACAUGUUUUACUCCUUGGAAGAUUCAAGUUCUUGUCAGAAACAUUCUCUUCCUUGCUUCUCAAAUUGGUCAAGUUUAUUUCACACAUGUUCACUGAGAAGCAAAUUUCGUGGCGGAUGCUAUUGCAAAACUGGGACAUAAAAUUGGAACACAAGUUUGGAGCAGAUCCUUUCCUCUUGCAGCUAGUCAGGCUUUUUAUUUUGACUCUCUAGGUGGUAGUUGUAAUAGGGGAUUUGUAAUUUGAGAUUGUUUUUCUUUUUAUAUUGUCAAAAAAAAAUAAGUAUCUUUUCAAAAAAAAAACGAUAAUAAUUUACACGAGAUGAAACGAUGUCGUAUCCAUCACUUUCCCAAAUUUUGAAUAAGAGAACAUAGCAAAGCUAGGGAUUUAAUGAAGAUGAAGAAAUCCAAAGCCAGAAAGAUGAAGGCUUUCAGGUGAAACCUCUUCAUUACUUUUGAUAUUGCAAUCAUUUUAUUGAUUCUCAUCUAGGGUUUGACAUCUUUAACUGUCUCUUUGCUAUUGUUUAACUUCUAACUAGUUAGAUUCUUCAUAAAUUUGGAUGCAGAAUAAUGUUAGUUUGUGGGUGUAUGGAAAUUGAUGAUCUUUCAGUAUUCUUCAAUUCAUUGUUAUUAUGUAAAUGAUUUAUUCCUUUUUUUUGUUGUUGCUUUGCAUAUGAUAUUGGGUGUUCAUUAUCAUCAGUUAGACCUUUAAGGAGGCUAAAUUAUGUUUCUUAAUCAGUGUAGAUAAGAAGAAGUGUGUGCUUUAGAGUGUUUGUGUGUAGAAGAAAAUGAAAUGGGUAUUGAUAUGAUUGGAUUCUCUGGUUUUUGGGUACCUAUAAAGCUACUCAUCUCUAGUAAUUUGUUCAAAGUCUCUCUUAAUUGAUCUAGUAAUUUUGCUGUUUUUCUUAGUUGGUAUAACACCACAAAGUUAUUGAGAAAAUAAGUUGUGAAAAGGGUAUAAAAUGGGUUAGUUUCAAAGUCAUAACUGGACAUGUAUCCGGUUUACCUUUGCGAGUUAGGAAAAUAAAAACUUCAGAUAUGCGGGAGCUAAUUUGAAUUUAGGAACACAGUUUGUGUACUGUAGAUAAUACAUGUCUUGUUCAUGAUUGUAAUGCACAUCGGUUAUCUAGUCAAGAUGAUCUGUUAAGUGCUAAGGUGAUGUGUGGUUGGUAAUGUUUUGCUCUUAUCUGGAGUUCAUCUGCCUUUUGGUUUAUCCAACGGUAAAAUGCUUCUUUGUUUAGUUUGUCAUUUCCGUCUUUUAGUAUUCUUCCUCAAAAUAAUUCAUUUUUCUUAAACGACAGUUUCUUUUUGGCCACUCUGGUAAAUAACAUUGAGAGGAUGGGAAAAUGUGGGUUGGCAAGCAUCUUUUCUGUUUUAGUAAUCCUCCCAUUAAUGCCUUGUUCUUAUCGAAGUUUUGGGUUUAAAAGAACACACAAACAGAGAGGGCAUACAAGUGAGAUAUCUCUGACAGCGCCUUUGAAGCAUCAUUUUACACUAUGGCGGAUAGGAAGUUGCCAGUCUCAGGUCCUAACAGCAAAAAGAUUAAGAUUGAAGUCCAAGGGGAUAGAUCUGAAACCUCGGUAAGUAAACACUUGAAUUCCUGGAAUUUUUCUAUGUCUAGCAUCUUGUAAUCAUCAUUAUUGAGUUUAAGUGGUAAAGAUUCUUCAUCAUAGUAAAUCAGUGUACCAGCAUGAGUUCCAUUACUGUUGUAAUGAUUUUCAGUUAUGGUGGUAGAUUGACGUGAUUGAUUUAAUUCUCAAUUUGCAGUCAUACCAUAUAAAUUCUUGGUAAUUGACUAAUGAAUCUAUUUCAGUUUUCUUGUUAUGUUCUUAUUGUGAUUUAGUAUCAGUGAAGGUAUAAGGAUAGUUGGCAAUCCUUUUUAUCCUGCAAAACACCUUAAGAUGCUGUUGUCUGAUCAAGAACAAGUGACACUAAUAUCCCUUAUGGUUUCAGGUAAAACAUACAUUUGCAUAUCAUUGUUUUUCACAGAGGUUAGCAGCCUCGCUUGCUAUCCUAGUACUGAGUCUUUUGCUGUCCUGAGUUUCAAAGUCUGUUAUAUUAGUUUAAUAAGUCUUUCAAAUUCAAACGGACAACUGAGUUUGUGGGAAGUGCUUUGGCGCUCAAACCAGUUUAAGGGUUGAGAUCUUUUGUUAUGCCAACCCGUGACCAAAUGAUUUGAUGCUCAAGGCUCCAGCUUGGAUUUUAUGAUACAUUAUCCAAUACAAAGCUGGUCCCUGUGUGAUUCAAAGACCAGUCGCUAUCGGCUGUGUCAAGGUCCACUGAUGGACUGAGUAAGAGGGUUUCAAACCUCUUGCUCCCUGUUUUGAAUCGUUCAUGUUUUAGGAAAGGUAUCUUUAUCUUAUUGAGGUUGCUUGUGUCAACUCUCCAUUUGGUUACAUCACUUUCAGUAUGCGGAACCAAACACUUCUGUCCAAACCUUUCUGAAACAUGUUGAGGUCAGCUUGCAUCAUCUUUGAUGUCUUGUCUGCCUAUAUAUAUCUAUAGCUUUGGCUUUGCUCAAUGGUUGUUGAAAACUGCCUUAUUGCGUUUUCUUUGUUGAGUCUAGUUCUAGCUUGCAUUGUUCAUGCUGCUCUAAGUCUUCUUCGUGACUGUAAACCUUAGAGCUUGAACUCAAAACUUCUUUCAUCAACUCAUAUCAUGUUGCAUACCAUGAGGGAUGUGUAGUGCAACCAACCCAAGAAGCGUUCAAGAUUGAAUCAGCUAGUGGUUAGCUGAAUUCACGAACAAAGCUUCUAAAAGUGUUCCAUGUUGUAAGAGCUUAGAAACAAGAGAGGGAAUAGGUCUAGACUAGUUCGGGACUAGGGAGGAUAGCACUGUGGUAGUGUAUCACUAGAACUAUUAUUCUUGUAAGAAGUUACUUCAACUUAGUGGAAAGUUUUGUCUCUCAAGAGUUAGAGAUACGUAGUUUUUCUCCUUACAUUCAGGGUUUCUGCUAGUAAAAAACAUCCUUGUGUUGUUUCGUUAUUUGCUGCAAUUUACUUUCUGCAAACUCGUAGCCUGUGAAUCUGGGAUAGCACAAAUCAUUGCUAUCCUCGGAUACAGAAGUCAAUGAAAAUUCAAAAAAAUGCCUAUUCACCCCCUCUAGGACCUUUAAUCAGAAAAGUGAUAUUUCAGCACCAUCAAAAUUUUCACUAUUGGCUUAAUAAAUUCAGAUGUGAUAUUGUUUUUGGUGUUAGAUUGAAUUGACAAAUUUGAUUUGAAAUAAAU
rnacentral:lncRNA from 1 species